AUUUUGGUUACCUAUAUUUGUUAAGAAAAUAAAAUUAAUAUUUCUAACUAUCCAACAAGGGUGAUGAUCCUUUUAACCCGAUUGCUUAUUGUCGAACUCAUUUUUUGGAUUAACCCUGUUGCAUAUUAUCGAACUCAUUUUUUGAAUUUGAAUUUUAUGAUACGGAUAUGUAACUCAAAACCUACUCCAGAUUUAAUAUAUAUAAUUAAUAUCUUAUGUAUAAAACAAAUAAUAUACAUUUUUGUUAUUUCAUAAGUUCAUUAUUAUUCGAAUAUAAUUAUUUAGUUUUUAAAAUAUAUAAUUGUAAUGAUUUAAUAUUCAAGCUAUAUUUCAUACUCCAUCUAUUCCAUUCAAUUGUAUACGUUUCUUUUUCAUUGUUCGGCACGCAUUUUAAGACUGUUAUAAAAUAUAAUACUAUAACCUAUUUUUAAAAUUUUCCUUUUUUUAUAAAAAUAUAAAACAGUAAAAAAAAUCUUAAGAAUAAGUUGCAGAAUUAUACUUUAUCAAAGCGUUAAAAUCAGUGUCGCGUCUCCGUCUCUCAAAAUGUAUACUAGUGUCUGGGAUGUGGGAUGCAGAAGUAUAUGAUUACUCAUAGUUUAUAAUAUUAUCAUAAUAUGUGGUCGCGCUAAACAGAGAAUCAUUAAUAUAUAACCUUAGAACUGCUGCAGAAUCUUAAAUUUUAAAUAAAUUUUAACAGCUAAAUCUAAAUAUAUGUCUUUUACAUCGUUAUAUGUCUUCAAAAAAAUAAUUUUAAAAUAUAAUAAAUAAAUACAACACUAUUUGCAUGUGCAGGUGCUGCUGUCGAACCCUAAUUUAAAAGUUGUAAGAAGAAAGCGACCUUGUUUUAUAUAUAUAUAUAUAUAUAUAUAUAUAUANNNNNNNNNNNNNNNCUUGUUAUAUAUAUAUAUAUAUAUAUAUAUAUAUAUAUAUAUAUAUAUAUAUAUAUAUAUAUAUAUAUAAUAUAGGGCAUUGCUCAAAAAAGAACACCUUUAAAAGAAGAACAAAGAAGAACACUUUGGAAUCGAACAUAGAAUCUCAUCUAAAACUUGAAUUAAAUUCUAACUUUAAGCUAAUUAAUCAUUUAUUGUAAAUAAUAAUAGUAUCUAGCAUGUUUAACAACAAUUAUGGAUUAAAAAUAACAUGAUUCUAUGUGAUAUUGAUCAUGUAAAGAAUAUAUACAUGAUUCUAUUCUAAAUUCUGUUUUGGAUUCUGUUCUGGAUUCUAUAAUAUUUCAUAUUAAUAAUUUGGAUAGAUUUGGAUGUUAGAUUUCAUAUAUUAAAUUUAGUUAGUGCUUAACUAUGUAAUUAUAAUCAUAACAAAUCAUUUUUUAUGAAAGAAAAAAUGUUAUGAUAAUGUUAGUGUUCUGUGUGGAGUGCAACCCAUAUAUAUAUAUAUAUGUGUGUGUGUGUGUGUGUGUGUUCAUGAUAUUUCUAUCUUGAAUAAUAAUAAAAUAUUAUUUGCUCGUAUUAUUACAACAACAUUCUACAAGAUUUGAAAUCAAGUUUAACAUCAAACGCGUCUCCAUGUCUUACCAGAAUGCUAUAUUAUAUAACAUCACGUUUAAUUAUAUAACACCACAAAAAAUCUUGGUUAUAAUAUAACAUAGUACCUGGACUUGUCCAUUUCCCGGCAUCAUUUAAAUUUUAAUAACUUCCUCAGCUUUAAAAUCAUGCCUUUUGGAUGCACUUCUCAAGCUUCCUCUUGGCUCCCCCUUCUUCAGAGAAAAGUUUCCACUUACUACCACGAAUAAAGCACAAAGACUAAUAUGAUUAAAAUGAUAAAGAGAUUAAAAGUGAUAGUUCUGUGAGAGGCGUUUGAUGAAUUGGUGACAAGAGGACAAUUCAUCUUGUCAGGGGUACAGAGGUUUGGGUUCCCGGCCAAGAUUUCGUCGCUGAAGCCCUUGAGUUGCCAAUCCACUGGAAUCCUGCCAGAGAAAUUGUUGUAGGAGAGGUCCAAUAUUGUUAGGCCCUUCAUGUAUGCCAAUUCACGUGGAAUUUCACCGCUCAAUCGAUUUUGAGACAAAUUAAGCACACUGAGAUCUGGUAACAUUGAAAGUUGGGAAGGAAGUUCAGAAUUCAAUCUGUUUCGACUUAGAUCAAUGUAGAUGAGUUUGGUGCAACGAGCAAUUGAGGCCGGAAUAUCACCAGUUAAGUUGUUGGCGCUAAUGUUGAUAGUCAUGAGCAUCCUCAAAUUGGAAAUUUCCUCUGGAACACCCCCUGAAAAGUUGUUCACUUGAAGCUCUAAUCGUUCUAACUUCACCAAAUUGCCAAUAGCCGGAGGAAUUUUCCCAGAGAUCAUAUUGUUUUUAAUAACAAGACUCUGAAAUUUAUUACCCGAAAUAUCCACAGGAAGUUCACCAGAAAAAUUGUUACCAUUGAGCUCUAAAAUUUCUAGUGCUGGCAUGUUGAAGAAUCCUGCAGGAAUGGAACCAUUGAAGAAAUUAUUCUGAAUUUGUAUACGAAUCAACGACUUACAGUUCCCUAGCUCAUUCGGAAUGGAUCCAGUGAAAUAAUUUUGCAUUAAAAUUAAAAACAUUAAUCUGCCUCCUUUGCACAAAUGCUUUGGUAUCACCCCUGUAAGAUGAUUUCCACUAACAUCAACCUGCUUCAAGUUGCCAUUACUCCCGAGAGCCGAUGGCAAUUCAAAACUGAAAUUAUUAUCCCAAAUAGCGAGCGAUUCCAGAUUAGGAUAAUCACUGAUGAAAUCCGGAACAGGUCCAACAAAUUGAUUAUGAAACAGAUUUAUCGUAGUCAAAUUAUUUAGUGCAACGAAACUCAGUGGAAUUUCACCAGUAAGUUGAUUCAACGACAAGUCCAAUAUCAUCAAACUAACCAAACCAGAGAGUUCUGGAGGAAGUUUGCCUGUGAGAAAAUUAGACUGAAGAAAUAAUGUAUGUAACAACUUCAGAUUCCCUAAACUCGCAGGGAUUUCCCCUGUCAGAUUAGCACCGCCAAUAUCCAAAAGUCGAAGAGAACUCAAAAAUCCAAACUCCGGAGGAAUUCCACCAAGAAACAUAUUAAAGUAACCUAGUCUGAGAAUCUGAAGUGUAGAUAAACGAGAUAAACUUGGCGGAAUUAAUCCUUGGAGACUAUUGCCUUGUAAAGCUAAGGUCUCCAGAGCCAGAAACCUAGAGUAGGCCUCAGGAAUCUCUCCGGAGAAAUAAUUUCCACCGAGUGACAGAGAUUUUAGAUUAUUCAAACUUACAAAUUCUGUGGGAAGGCUCCCAGUGAAGUUGUUGUUGUAAGCAUCGAACACUUCUAGGUCCUUCAUAUUAACCACUAUUUCACCAGGAAAGUCACCGUUAAAUAAAUUAUAGGAAAUGUUAAUCAACUUGAGCAAGACCAAGUUGGACAUCUCUGGUGGUAAUGGACCAGUGAGAUUGUCUGAGAAGAGAACUAGGGUAACAAGUUUAUCUAAAAGUCCGAUUUCUGGAGGUACGAUACCAAAGAGGGGAAUAUUUGAGAUAUCAAGAGCAACAACUCUUGAAUUAUUGUCACACUUAACUCCAGUGAAUCUGCAGUGUGCUGAUGGAGAAGACGAUGAUGAGUUGGCAAACCAGUCCUGGAGUCCAGAGCUGCUAGGGCCGACCAUCGAAGCUUUUAAGUCCAUUAAGGCUCGGAAAUCUGAUAAUGAGUUGGCAUGUGAGGAUGAUAAGAGGCAAAGAAAAAUGAGGUAAAAUAGUUUCAUUUUUGUUUUUGGAAGAUUGAUGAAAACAGAAUGUUGUGUGAUCAUAGGAUGAAGCUAAAUAACAGUGGAACUGGACCAUAUCAUUCUUCUUCAUCAAUUUUGGUAUCUAUAAAAGUACUAUCAAUAAUAUAAAAGCGAGCAACUAGUGCUGUAGAACAUUAGCUAAAUAUUUAACUGGCAUUGAUUCUGCACUCCGAGCUACAUGUUGUUCCUAUCUUUGUUUUGCCUUUAAUCACAACGGAGAAAAAAGUUUCAGCUAUAGCUAUACGGAACAGAUUCGAUGUUGGGAGCCGCGGUCAUUGUCUCCUCUAUAUUUCUGGGGUGGAUACAAAGGAACACAUAGUUCCACACACGUUUCCAAGUCUUGAACCUUAGUUACACGUGUUUAAACUUAGUCAAACGACUUAUAUUUCAAAAUGGAUGGAGUAGUACCUAACUCCGAUCACCCUUCCUACUUUGUUUAGAUCCGCUCCUGUAUUCACCCGCGUUUACUUGGAUUGCAUGGAAAAUGGCAAAGAGCGGAAUUUUUGUGACCUAUAUGUAUAUUAAUGAACUUAUUAGGAACAUAAUUUGGCAUUCCAUGCAUAUCAACAAAUCUUCUAAUGUCGUAAAGUACCCACUUAACAGUAUUUUUAGAAUAGGCAUAGGCUAACAAAACUCAAAUUGCAAAAGUUUACAAUGGAAAAGGAAGAAGAUGAUAAAGGAAGGCACCGAAAAAAUUUUAACCAAGCAUCUAACACUUUGCUUUUUUACAAUAUUGCAUUUGUUGACAAAGUCAAGUUCUUCAGGGAUCGUAAAGUUACAAAGCUCCAAAGAUUCUGAAUGAUUUUCAGGCGCAUCCUAAAAGGUUAUUCCCUCCUUUCUUCCCAUUUUACUUACACAUAAAUUGGCCACGGAAAUUUGAAAAAUUAUAUAAAAUUAUAUUUUAAAAAAAAAGAAAAAUAAUAAAUUAACUGUCUAUUCCAGUAUCAUCAUCCGGUUCUAGAACCGCAAGGAUACUGAAUAAAAGAAACUUUCGGGAGAAAAAAAAAAAAAGAAAGGAAGAAAAAAGUCAGGCCCAGUAUAAACUUCUUUAAGCCCGCAAAUAUUUAGGGUUGUAUAACACGGCCCAAGAUAAUUUCAAAAUAAUAUUAUCAACUAAACCCCCAAAUCAUAAACCCUAGCUACUUCAUCUCUUUACACACAAAAAUAUACUCUGCAAUGGCGGAGAGUAUGGUAUCGAUUAAAAAGAUCAAAGCUUUCUUCAACUCUGAAGUUUAUGACAAGCCAAAUUGGAACAACAACAAGGUAUACUCACUUUUCGUACAAUUCAUUUAUAUAUUCUUUUUUAUUUUAUUUUAUGUUAAGUAUUUAUUUUUAUGUUUGAAAUUGAUACGUGAUGUUGUGAAUUUUAUGAUUGUGAGAAAAUUAAAAGUUUGAUUGGGGUUAAGAUUUUUUGUUUAUUUAGUAGUACCUGACACAAAGCUGAUUGACUGAAGAAAGUUUUAUUUUAUUUGGAUAAAAAUUGGGUUGAGAUUGUGGGAUUCUGCCCAUUUUGAAUCUUGAUAUGCUCAAGAAUUAGAUUAGGUAUGAUAUUCGUGUUUCUAUGGUCCCUCGGUAAGUUUUUCAAAUCAACUGGAUUUUUAAAUGUACUUGACAAUGAAAAAAUGGCUGCUGAAAAAUUGAUUGCCUUUUGCUUCAUGGACAUGACUGGUGUUCCUGAAAAGUGAAAACAUGAAAAAUAUUUGUGAAGGAUUGGUUUCGGAGGGAAAUGGAAUUUAUAUCUCAUGGAAAAAAAGUUUUGUGAACAUUGUGUUUGUGAUUAUCAGUUUGAAAUGUGAUCCUGAUCAAAUUUAUUUAAUCAGUAUUUCUCUAUUGUUAAGCCCGGGUUUUAUAUCAAAGUGCCCAUUGUCUCGCCAAAAACUAUCAAGUGACUACCGAUCUCCACGGUGACUCAUUUUAGCCACUAGAAUCACUAUAUAUAUCAUUGUGUUGAAUCUUGAAAUAUAAUUAACAUAAUACUUAAUGCAAUUCUAAUCGACAGAUGAUGUGUGAGCCACAUAGAUUACAAAAAAGAAUUAGGACCGAAGAUUACAAAGAAAUAUAAAAAAUUGUAGCAAACACAUCAUCCGUUUGUUAACUUUUUAAUAAUAUUUUUUUAAGAUUUAAUAGAGUGAUAUAUAUAUAUAUAUAUAUAUAUAUAUAUAUGUAUAUAUAUAUAUCUAUGCUAAAAAAAAGAUGUUACAUAUUUGAUGAUGUCACAGGUAUUUAACUUGUUUAGAGUGCAGAAAUGAAGAUCAGAGUUUAAUCUAGAAUCAGAGUUUAACGACUGCCAGCUGGAUCAGAGUUUGUAUGAUGAUCAGAGUUUGCAGGCGGCUGAUUUCUAGGAGAAGAUCUGGAUUAUUAGUCAAUCAGUGAUAGACUCCAUCUUCUAUAACGCUAUGAGUGUAACAUAUAUAUAUAUAUAUAUAUAUAUAUAUAUAUAUAUAUAUAUAUAGUUAUUAUAGUGGCUUAAAUGAGUCCCCGUGGAGAUCGGGUAGUUACUUGAUAGUUUUUGAUGAGAAUGGUGGGCACUAUGAUAUAAAUCAUGUUUAUUCCUGUUUAUUCCUGUUUUCACAUAUUUUUUAUUUAAUAAUCAAAUAAAUUACAUUUGGUGUAAAUGUGUAUUCUUUUUCUAAUGGCAAGGACACCAAGUUCUGUGUGUCAAAGAUGUUGUGUGAUUUUUGGAAUGGAUUCCAAAUUGCAUUUAAAGUAACAAUAAAUUCAUCCCUUCAACUGUGACAAAAACUCAAGUAACCUAUGUAGCAUUUGAGUUUACAAAUAUUUUGAUAGAUGUGCAAACUGUUGCAGAGGUGAUUUCAUAUCUACAUUUUUAUUUGUAAGCUAUGAUGUCCUAAAUUAUAUAGUCUGGGGUUUUUGUACUUUAAUUGAAAUGCUACUGUAAAAGUUUAAGAGCAAACAAGUUACUUGCUAUCAGUUUUAAAAAUUGAAAAACCAAAUCAAAGUGUUCAAUCGUGUGAUUUAAUUUCCUCAAGUUUGUCAACCUAAUUAUAGUUACCCUUUCCUCACUUGAAGUUGGUGUGUGGCUCUUUUUUAGUAUUGUUGUUGAUAUUAUUUCAGGCCUUGAUCAUGAUGGCUGAGCUAUUUUUGCUGGACAUAACAGUUGAUUUCCUACUUUCACUUGUAAUUAAAAUUUCGAAUUUUUUUUUCUCAUUUGCAGAAAUUGCUUCGUGCUGUUGGGCUGUUUGCCGGCUCCAUUGUUUUCAUGCGGAAUUUUGGUGAGCUCAUGGCCAUUUGAAGAGCAUGACAGAUCCAGACUUGAGUCUAUAAAUUACCCUAUCUAGUAACCUGUUGGGAGACUUUUCUUGUUGUUUAUGUAGUAGGGUCUGAUUUAUCUCCCUUCAUAAAAGUCUGGGUUAUGUUAAAGGAUGAUCUGAUUUUUAUUUGAAACCACUUUUUUUUGUUUGGUACCGCUGUCAAACUGGUAAUUAACACAAAAUUGGAUUGAUAUAUGUUCUGUUGUUUCUUUUUCCAUUGGUCAUCUAAGCUUCACCAUGGUGGCUGUGCUUGCGUCACAACUUAUGCAUACUAGCAUAUGGUUUGUGCUUUGCACGGAGUUCAAAUUCGAUUGUCAGUACAUCUCUUUUAGUAUUGGGGUGCUGGACUGCUAACUUACCAGAGUCUUAAAAUAUGUUGUCGGAUGAUUUUCACUGGGGUGUAUAAGUUGGCCAUUGCUUGUUUUUGAUACUUUUAUGUGCUCUUAAAUUCGUAGAAAGUCAACCAGAGUUUUGAACUAGUUUUCAUUCUACAUGUAGGAUUCAGUUCAAUGGUAAGAAAUAAACUGAGAAGAAUAUGCAUCCUUGUUUUAUACGGUUUUUACUAAUAUCUGGGCAUGAAAAAAGAAUUGUAUACAACCUAGCUUUCUAGUAUCUGGAAAUAACUAUAGAAGUAUAGAACAGCGAAAUACCAACUGAAUCUACUAUUAGCUAGCCUAGAACACAAAUGAAAAUUUGAAAGAAAACAUCUUAUAAACAAAAUUUUAAAAUUUCGUAUUUGCAUUGCUCCUAAUACAAGUUAUGGAAAAUCCAUCAAAUUCUCAGUCCAGAGAGAUCAAAUUUGUAGACAAUUAAGGAAUAAUGGCUAACUAGUUCACAAACAAUUGCCUACAAAGCCUACUAGUGGUUUUUACUCGCACGUUAGCAGCCUCACUGGUAACAAUCUCUCCAACCAAGUCUUUGAAGAGCGAUCUCUCGAUAUCCAAUACCAACCCUGAUAUUUCUCCUUGAAAAUCUGUAAAACUUUCCGAUGGAUGCAGCACAUCUUCCCACAAGAUGCUUUUUAGCCCAUCAUCCUCAUCCUCCAAGCUGCAAGCCUGUUUCUUGGCUUGAAGCUGCUCAAUUUCAAAACACAAUUCUCUAAGGAGCUUUUGUGCAUUGAGGGUCUUCCCUGUUACAGUCAGAGGCUGAAUCCAAGGUUCCGUAGACUGUCUGAGGAAAGCCAACUUUGUGGUUAGAACUUCAUUAACAGCAUCAAAGAUGAGUUUUCUGUGGGUUUUUUCAUUGUCAGGCUUCAGUUGCACAACCUUUUCUGCUCUACAGUCUUCCUUGAGUCGAUUACUAGCUUUGGUUUGUUCCAAUACCAAGAAUAACUCAGGGUUAAUUGGUUGGCCUGAUUGGUGAAACUGGAAGGUUGUCAAGUUUGAGCCAAGAUCCUUGAGGAGCAGACCAGAAGCUAACAAUAUCUCAGAUAUGUAUCUGUCAUCAGGAUUUGUGUUCUCACAAAGAGAUGCAAUAUAAUCUGUCCGGGCUUCAUCAUGGCCCGAGUUCAAUCUUCUGAGUUUCUGUACCAAGUGAUCAAUGCUUUGUAGUUUCUGUCGAUUAACAUGAGGUGCAAGAACAGAUUCCUCGGUUCUAGAUACAUUGUUAUCAACUGGAUGAAACUGCUCUUUUGUUAUGUUGUCACUUAAAUUCGACAAAGAAUUAUCUGCAAGUAUACAAUGCAACAAGUGAGGUUCAGUAAUAGAACUCACAGAGUUUUUGUUCACAUUUAUAACCAAUAUAACUUAGACUUAUUUACAAUUUUCACCCCUUUAGUUCAGUAUAAAUGCACUUUACACCCAAUACAUUCACAACAAACACUUUACAUCCCUACACUAUUUGACGUGCUAAACUUUGAACCCUUUCCGUCAUGUUUAGCCGCUAACGUCAAAGUUGAUAGGGGUAAAACUCUCCGUAUCUGCAUUAUUUGCAAUUUUCACCCUUUUGGCUUAGGAUAAAUGCACUUUACACCCAAAAUUUUUUUUAAUUAAAUAUUCAGAAUAUGUUAAUAUAUUCAGAGUGCUUACUACAUGAUACAAGGGAAGUAAUUUCACCUCUUUUAUUAUAACGAACAUUGUACAUAAUUAUAAGAUAAUAACAAGGAUUAUAUUAAAUUGUGUACUUUUAGAUCCAGUUAAUAUGCUUGUCAAAUUGCAAAAGUAAAACCUCGUCAAUAAUAAUAGAGAAAAUGGUCAAUGAUUAUUUUAGUAUAACUAUUGUGCCCAUAAUGCAUUUAGCUGAAACUCAAGGGAAGCAAAAUGUAAAUAAAUCUUUCUUUUAAUAUGAAAUAUUUAAAUUACUCUUAGUUACCAACAACGGUCAAAACAUGACGGAAAAGCGUCUAAAGGGUCCAAAGUGUGACGGAUUUUUAAGUUAGGGGAUGCAAAGUGUUUAUCAUAGAACUCCUAGGUGCAAAGUGCAUAUAGCUAAAAUCAAAGAGAUGCAAAAUGCAAAUAACCCUAUAAUUUGUAGCUCAAUUUAUAGAUUUUUAGACCACUUAAAUCAAUUAAAGGCUCCUAUGAACAUGGAUAUAUUCGUUAAAAAGGCUUUAGCUUUGUAUGAUAAUGAGAACAAGCUAUGCCUACAUACUACAUUACCCACAUUAUUUUUAUGCUACCCAUUAGCAUCCACAUAGUCAUGCAUGUGAAAACUCAUAUAUAUAUUUAAAUCCUACAAUAUUACACAAUCAUACAGCUUUGACAGAGGUGGUUUAGGCUUUUUUAAAUAAAUAUAAGGUUGAAAGUAGGACUGGUCAUCAAUUCGAGAUUUCAACACCACAGAAGAACUGCAUAACUGUAGACUAAAAAAUGUGGAGUAAAUCUUAAUGUACUGAUAGUAUUAAGAAAUUUAUGAUUUAGUAAGAAGAAUCUUACUUUUGAUAGUCACUAGGAUUUCAUUCAAACGUGAUGAUUCAUUAUCAAUAUAUACUGCACCGUCAAGGACCGAUACGGGACUGGGAUAUUCAGGGGAAGUUGUACCAAGUUCUGCCACUGAAUCAUCAUCAUUUCUAAUCACACUUGAUUUCUGAAACAAAUAAUAUAGGUAAAAUGUCACUCCUCUAGUAAACUGAAUGUCCAAAUGAAAUUGUAUUGGUUUGAAAUACCUACCUUCGCUACACGGCUUUUAGAGUACUUUGCAGUCUGCAUUAAUGAACUCUGGUUGCCACUAAUUCCACUGGGCCUUACUGCACUGUUGACUUCAUUAGAAACCAAAGAGUUAAUGUUCACUCUGUAAUUUGAUUUCCUCGCUCCAGUACUGUUUUCGCUGAUUUGAUGAUCACUUUCUUGCAAAAUUGAGGAUUUAGCUCGAUGUCUCCCACCAGGUGAACUUGACUCUCGUUGCUGCUUGUUUGAUUGUUGCUUCUUUAAUUUACUGGAAUUAGAUGGAGACAUAGGAGGUCGGGAUCGCUUCUCCAAAUCAUGUUUCUUUUGUUGCAGUCUUGGGCUGAUUGAUGCUGAGCUCUGUACCGAACUGGUUGUGCUUUCUGUGUGCACCUGUUGGUGUCUCGUUGAUAUUUGUGUUUUUGGAGUUCUGACAUUGACUUUCAUGUUGGUAGAUGUCUCAGUGUGGUCUCUGUGAGUAGACUUAUAAAUCUGAUCCUUAUCCAUUUUGCUAGUAACUGAACCAAUUGUCUUAUCAAGAUAGUCAUAGCCCUGUCGCCUAGAUUUGAUGGACAAGCGGCCAAGUGGCACUGCUGAUGAAGUACGGCUCCCAGAUUUUUCUACAAGUUUUGCAGGUUUCAUGAUGACAAUCGGAGAUUCAGAUGUCCUUAAAGAAAUGGAUCUCUGGGAAGUAUGACUAGAAACAUUAUCAUUCUGUUUCUGUUUUUGGUUCAUCUCUCUUGUAUUUUGAUCGGGAGCUGUGUACAUUUGUUCAUGGUCUCGAUGUCCUUCUUUGCUGGUGUCUACCAGCCCCUUCAUCUGCAUUGAUUGAAGUAUCUGUUUAAGAGCUCUGAGAUCCUUUCCGGAUUGUCUAAAUUCAAGAUCUUUCAAUCUAUUUUCUAUCUCACUGUAAACGGAAGGAAAGGAGCUCGGAGCUUUUCCCAGAGCUUUCAAAUUUCUAGGAACCGCCUUCUGAGACCCUCGAGUCCCGUCAAGCAGAUGCCAUGGUGCUGGUUCAACAGAAACUCUUGAUAGGGGUUUCUUAACUGGAUUGGGAUUUCUCCAGCGGGGUGAUGUUGGUUCCUUCAAAGAGUUCCUAGAAUAAUCAAAUGGUUGUAUCGAUCUGUAUGCAUUAGUUGCUUUUGAGGAGCUUGAAGAGGCUUCAGAUUCUUUGACAGGAUUAGUUCCAAUCUUGUUAUCUAUGUUGGAUGCAGAAUUUGGCACUGAGUCCAAUCCCAUCAACUUUGCUACGACGCUGGGAGGUCGUUGCUGAGAUUCGAAUGUUUGGUGCUGACGUAAGAGAAUCUGCUCAGUAUAAUUCCCACUGUCCUGCAUACCCUUUGACAUAAAGCUAGAUUGUGUGUCGGAAUUGAAACUCCGCAUUGAACUCUCUCUGCUGUCCAAUGAUAGCCUUGGUAGUUCUUUUAGCUUUAAGGUUUGGUUCAUACUGUCCUGUGAAUAGUAAGAUAAGUGACUUUUUCCCCUUUCAUCAUAUGAAUAGCGUGGAGCGUCCUUUGGAUUUAAAUAUGAAGAUCCAUCUCUGAAUUGGUAGGAUGACGACCUUGAGAGUUUACUAGGUUCAUCCAAAUACCAAGGUCGUGCAUCUCGAACUUCAGAAAUAAAUUUAAGAGGCUCCUCAAGAUCGACCGGCAUAUUAUGUCUUUCAUCGCGGCCAUGUCUAUAAAAUUCAUCAUUGCUUUUGGAUAAAUGAAGCGGUCUCGGUGAGUCCCUUCGCUUCACCAAAGAAUCAGAUGCUGCCUCUUUUUUAUUAGUUUUAACUGAUACUUCACGGAGUUCUCUGUACAUGGAGUCCCUGACCACAUCACGAAGAUUAGAGACUUGACGCUCAGAAUGUGGAGAUGCGCUUGACUGGCUUAACGCUUGUUCCUUCGAAGGGACUUCAGAAAAAAUCAUACGAUCAAAGGAUAAGGGCUCUGGUUGAGCUGUUCUGUUAAAGUCGAGAGAGGAGAAAGAAGACGAACGGGAUGAAGAGGAAAACGAAGGUCUAGACGUUUCUGUGGAUAAUCUUUGUUUCUCAAUGUUAUGUUUGUUUGACUGAUUUUCCUGCCAAAGAAAGGGAGUUAUCAGACUCUUAUCUACAAUGACGAUACCAGCAACAACAGAGGUAAAUCCUUAAGAGUAAUUAAUAGGACAUCUUUCACUUGAAAUAGUUAAUUUUGAGAACAUAUCCUUAGCAAGAAAAUGCAAAAUUACAUGACCAUCUGUACUGUCAAAACAAAACCCUUUCUUUUUGCUCACUGAGAAACAACUUCCAAUACAGUUUAGGAUAUACAGAGUUUCCUCUUAAAAUUUAUAUAAAAAUCAUCAUAUAAUACACACAUUAGUUAUAAUAAUAUUUAACCUAUAUUAGGAGUUGACUCCAAACAACAUUAAGUAGAGAAAAAAGAGUAAUUAAAGUGUUUACCACUGUCGGACGUCUGUAGUAUCUGUUAUUCUUAUUUAUAUUUGUACCACUAGUGCUGUAGUCAUAUUCGGAGUCACCUGCAGGCGAGAUCAACGUUAACAUUUAAUGAUCAGAAACGAUUGCAGUUUACAAAGAAAAAGGAAGACAACAAAGAGACCAAAGCACGAUUACAUUUUGCAACUAUAACUCUAUAAGGAAGGCUUUUACAGCUCUCUGAUAUAGGAAUGAACAAAAAUUAGUCACCUUUAAUUACUAGCUAUCUGCCGAUUGAAGAAUCCGGAAUAGAUAGGCCAAGAUUCUAUAUACAUAAAAUAAUAGAGGUACUAGAGUAGGUGGUUUCCUCACAGAAACUGGUGAUAAAUUAGAAUAUAGAAAAUAUCCUGAAAACAUUACCAUUAUUUCAUCAUGAAAAAUUCAAUUAAGAGAUAUAAGUAUAUAACUGACAGCUGAUGCCAAAAGCAUUAUAUUCAAACAAUCAAUUAGAUCAAUUUUCAUGGUCCACACAGUUAUUGUUCGACAUUCUGAGUGAAAGAAAUAAUUAACCAAUUUCUAUGUUUCAACAAUGUAUGAAAUUAUCUGUCCAAAAAAAAAAACAAUGUAUGAAAUUAUGAUUGACAGCUAUGUAUAAUCAAAUAAAGCAAUGAACACAAGUUAAUCGACAGAGAUUACCAGGAGGAAGUCUUCUCGGGUGACCUGUGAUGCGCCUACCAGUCGCUAAAUGUUGACGAUCAAAUAGCUGGAAAAUUCCGGUCAUGCAUCCUAUUUGCUUCGACAACUCCGGAUUUUCCUCUGAAAGUGAUUGCAAAAUCUUUGCAGCCAUUAUCUCCUUUUCCCUCCACUACACUACUGAAAUUUGACAACUAUGUAAUAGUCAAUUAUUUGACAACCUUGGAUCCAAGGCUCCUUUAGAAAUACUAAUACAAACUCUUCCACCGCAAUCCGAGAUGAGUCUUAUUGAUUUCCAUAUGAAUUCAAUUCAGAAUCUUCAAUACCAAAGACCCCCAAUACAAAUCCUAGUAAAAUGGAAAGUAAUGCCAAAUCCCAAAUCCAAGAACUUCACAUUCUUCAGCCCACAUCCAAACUCAUAAAGGUUGGAGCUUUAUUAACUAAACCAAGAAAUCAAUAAAUUCAACUAUUCAAGAUUUCACAAAUCUUUCCAGAAGCCAAUUUGGUCUCUGCAGUUGAGAACAAAUGAACACAAUAUUUCCAACAAUUAUUCAACAAAUUUGUACAUUUCUUUAUUCAAAAUGUAGGUGAAACAAGAUGAUAAUACAAAAUCAACCCCAAGAACACACAUGAAGAGAAGUUAACAAAAGACAUCAACCAAAGGAAAUUAAGAUGUAUAUAUAUAAUGAAGAUUGUUACCUUUGUAUUGUCUGAAGAAAAUAAUGCACAACUCAUGAGUGCAAGGCAAAUCUGUGGAAGAAUCAAGAGCAGGUGUAAACAGAAGAAAAAACCAAAGACAGCCCAGAUGAGACUGUAAUUGGAAAUGGUUUAAUGUUAGUAAUAAAUGUUGCUGAGAGUGAGAGUUAGCAAAUUAUAGUAUUCAAUUAUUCUUAUAAUGAUAAUGUAUCUAUAUUCUAUGCAGAGACACAUAAGCAACUGUGUUGUAGUUGUAGAGUGCCCAACAAAAAUAAGCAGUUAAGAAAUCGAUACAGGUAUAUAAAAAAAUUAAGUCAGAACCUCGAUUAAGUAAUAAUCGAUUAGGUAAUAUCCAUAAUAUUUUAUUCUAGUCCCAAUACAAUGUAAAUAAUAUAUUUUUAUUCUCAAUAAAAUAAUAAACUCGAUAAAAUAAUUUUUUUCAUUGAUCCCAACAAAAAAAAUAAGUUUAUUAUUUCAAACAAUAAAAUAAGAACAAAUUGUGGUCUGAUUUAGGCCUGUCAAUGGAGCGAAAAUCCGAUCCGACCCGAUCCGAUCCGAGGUCAUUUUAGCGGAUAUGGAUUUGGUAAAAAAAAAAUCCGAUCCGAAAUUUGAUCCGAUUAAAAAAAUCCGAUAAUAAAUGGACCGGAUAUGGAUUUAGUGUGAUCCGAUCCGUUUAUAACCCGAUCCGGUUAAUAUAUUUAUAUAUAUAUAUAUAUAUAUAUAUAUAUAUAUAUAUAUAUAUAUAUAUCAUAUUAUAUAAUAAUAUAUUUUAUUCUUGAUAAGUAUUUACAAAUUACAACAUACAUUACAAAUUGAUUAUUUGAAUAUAAAACCAACUAAAAAUUCACAGGCCCAGUCUCUGCUAGUCAUCUAGUAUGUUUGGUAUGUUUGGUGACCUGGGUCUUGGAAUAUAAAACUGUUUUGAAAACUCACAGAUCCUUUUAAAUUUUAUUUAUAAACAAUUUAGUUUGUAAUUUGUUUUGAGACUUGAGAUGUAAUGUUUGACUUUGUAAUUUAAAUUUUAACAUUGUUAUUUAUUGGUUUUAUUUGUAUUUUAGGUAAUGUUAAAGUCUUAUAAAAAAUAUAUAUAAGUAGUAAGUAAAUGGAUCGGAUAUCCGAUCCGAGAUCCGUGAUCCGAAUGGAUAUGGAUAUGGAUCUGCUUAAAAAAAAUCCGGUCCCGAUCCGAUCCGAAUCCGAAUCCGCUAAAUUAAAUGGAUAUGGAUAUGGAUUUAGGUCGAUCCGAUCCAAACCCGAUCCAGGCCUAGUCUGAUUAGAUGUGUAAUUGUUGAGGUAGGGGAGGAUGGGUGAGAAUGCAGAGGGGGAUUGUACAUAAACAUGUGGGAUGGUGGGCCUGCAACCACCGGAAAUGUCUGCAUGGGCAUGUGAUUUUUGUCAUAUGAUAGAGAUAACCCAUCACUUCCCAACUGCAAAUUCCAUCUCCUUACCUCACCAAUACUCUAUUCUUAAUCGCCAAAAGGCAGUCUCGUAAAAUAUAAUUUUAUAAUUUUUUUAAAAAAUAAGUUACAGAGUAAAUAUUCAGAGCAAGAAAUUAAGAAGGCUAAUUUUUCUUUUGCAGCCUAAUCAUUUUUCCAAUCUUCUUUUCCGAUAACAAUCCACUUCCUUAAAUCAUCAAAUAUUUUAAAUUAAAAUUAUUUGAAUACUUAAAAAAAUUAUAAAUUAUGUUUAUUCAAAUAUUUUAAUAACUUAUAAAUCAUAAUUUAUUUAUCACUUAUAAUCCAUCUUAAAAUAUUAUUAACUUUCUUUUUAAAUCCGGUCAUACGGUUGCCAACCUUGUUAAGGAGAAGAGUCUUGCACUAUAUAAAAAAUAAUUAAAAAAUAUAUGCUCUACUUCUUGAUUGUGAAAUGGCAACUUGCACAAGUUGCACAUUUAUAAUACUUGCAGAAUUAGGUAAUGAAAUACAGUUAACUAAACUUAAGGAGGCAUUGCUUUAUAAAAACUAUUUGAAUAAAUAAACACAUUGUCAAAUUCGAGGAAACAUGCCAUGCAAACAAAUCUUAUUAGAGAAUUAAGAAGACUCCUAAACUGGAAUGUCAAUGGAAGCUACUUACCUCCACUUUGAUUCAGAAGCCCCGAGUAUAUAUGUGUUCCCAUGUGCUUAGUCAACUAUAAAUCUACAUUUGUAUUAAAAAAAAUAGAUCAUACAUCGACCCGUAACAAAAUAAUUUAUCUUUUAAUCAUACGACGUUAUUAGACUUUUAAUCAACCAAAUUUGGCAGCCAAGAAUCAGACAUCAUGAAGUUGAGGGAUAAUCAAAUACACCGAAUCUCCUCAAAGUUGUGCCUUUACACGUACGAGCACAUGCACGUAUAUGCUAGCAAGCCUAGCAUCAAGUCAUCUCAUCAAGGGGCAUGCCGUUGUUUUUAUCAAUUAUGAAUGCAAAUAAGAUUCGAGAAAGAUGUCUCUGCUUUAUUCAGUUCUACGAAAAUUUUAUGCACGGGAUCAGAUCAAAAUAAUAAUAAAAAAAAUUAGAUUAUUUUUUAGAAGGAAAAAAACAGUUUAGAGAAACGAUUAAGUUGUUGGUUUUUUGGAACACCUAAUAUUUUACAAAUAUAAAAUGUAUCAAAAUUUUGAGACUAUCAGGACAACUGCCCCAAACUACAUGGCCAUAUUUGAAAAUUAACGGAUCGAAUUGGUUGUUUUGACCAGCUCAUUGAAUUAGAUGUUUUAACUAGCGGAUUGAAUUAGCUGUGUCUCAUAAAACUGUUUGGUAAAUAGCUAAUUGAUUAGUUUUUUCUGACAUAAACUAAAACGCUAAUCCAAAAAAUUCUUUAAAGUAACUUUUUCAAAAUUAGUUUUUUGAAUCCAAAUAUCUAUCUCAAUUCGCUAACUACCAAACAUUAAUAUUAGCUUAUUUUAGUUGUCAAAUCUUUAAUUUUCCUCCAAACCUCUAAUUUCCAAACAGGAUCAUGAUGUACAUCCGUCCCUAGAUAGUCACGCGCGUGGGAUUGAACAGGACAUAUGUUCAUAUGCACGCUGGUGAAGGGAAAACAGUUGACGAUUCAGUGUCACGUUGAUGAGUAAAAACAAAAAGAAGGAUGCACAAAAAAAUAGAACUCCUGUAGUCCUAUAGGCUACAGUAUAACUAAGGGUGAGCAUUCGGUCGGUUCGGUCCAAAACCGGACCGAACCGAAUAGACCGAGAACCGAAGUUUAGAUUUUUUUCGGACCGAACCGGAUCGAAGUUUUAUAAUGGACCGAACCGGACCGAACCGAAAUAAUUCGGUUCGAUCCGGUCCGGACCGAACCGAAAUUAUUUUAAAAAUAAAAAAAUAUUAUAUUUCAUGAUUUAUUUUAAAAUUUUCAUAUUAAUUAAUCACCCCCAAUUCAUUAAAGAUACAUAUAAUUAAAUUUACAAACUAGAUAUUAUAAUUAUAACAUAUAAGAUACAUAUAUAAUAUAAAUAUGAAUUAAAAUUAUAUAUAUUUUGGACAAUUCGGUCUAUUCGGUCCGGACCAAAAUAAUUUUUUACGGACCGGACCGAACUUUAUUUCGGUCUAUUCGGUCCGGACCGAAUGGACCGAACUUUCAGAAAAUUAGGACCGAACCGAACCGAAUUUACACGGUUCGGUCCGGUUUUUCGGUUCCGGUUCGGUUUUGCUCACCCCUAAGUAUAACAGAAAGUAGUGCCGGCCAAACGGGCGGUCCGGGGCGGCCGGGCCGAAUUUUUAUCCGGCCGGGUUACAGAUAUAUGAUUCGUAACCGGCCCGUCUGAUUACGCGGGCCGGUCCGGUUCCGGGCCGAUUCGUAACGAAUCAACUCGUGAACCGAUUCGUGGGUUCACGAGUUGAAACGGUUCAUUUUUAUUUUAUUUUUUAUGUUUUUUAAUCAAAUAUUUGUUUUAAAUAAUCAUUUUAUUUUAUAAAUAAAAGAAGUCAAGAGAAAAGAAGUUAGGAUAAAAUAAAAUAAAGCAUGAAACAAAGCAUAUUUAGUGUCCUGGAAGCCUGGAACUCAUGGGCGGGCCGAAUGAUUCGUUCGAUUCGCUUGUUACUUGCUUUAAUUUGUGAACUGUAAAGUUAUAUUAAUUAAACCGCAAAUUAUCAUAUAUAUUAAAUAAAAUAAAAUAAAAGAGGACGGUACCUCUGUACAAUUUUAUUAAUUAAAAAAGUAUUUUACAAUUAAUUUGAGAGGACUUAGCUCGGUAAUUCGCGGGCCGGUUACGAUUUCUUAUAUCCUGAUUCGUAUUCGAUUCGGAAUAUUUAACGAGCCGGUCCGGGCCGGUUCAAAUUCGUUACGGGUCGAAUUUUGACGAAUAAUUUGACGGUUCGGUUCCGAACGAGCGGUUCGAAACCGCUCAUUUGGCCAGCUCUAACAGAAAGUGGAGGAUCAAAGUAGGCAGCACAUGCACAGAGUGAAAUGGAAGCACAUGGUGUGGCGAGCUGCAAAAUGAUUCCAAUCAUAUUAGGUACUUCUUUGCUCAAACUAUCGGAUUAUAUUAUUUUUAGUUUGUCCGGAUAGUCUGUAUCGAUUAUCAAAUGUUGCAAAGAGCAAGUUCAUUAAGUUACUUAAACGAUCUUAUUUUUAUAAUUUUUAAAUAAAAAUAAUUUUUUUUACUAAAAUAAAUAAUUUAUCAAAUUUAUUUCUCUUAUCAUAUUUUAGUAUUCACAAGUCAUAUAAAUUAUCCCAACAAACAAUUUAAAAUGAAUUCAUAACUCAUAAGUUUUUCCUCCCAAACGGCCUCUAAACUCUAGAUCGAUAAUUUUCCUGUAAAUGUUAAGAGACUUUUCCCAAUCCCCUCAUGAAUGGUUGUGAGGAAUUCUGAGGCAAAGUUUAAGUUCCUCUGGUUGGUGGAGUGCAUCUCCGGCGUUCGAAUCCGGAGCUGACGGAGUCCUCGCCGUCGAGAACGGCAACGGAGGAGGUCUCGACCCCGAGACAGAGAGAUAAGUUUUGUAUGGUCUAACCCAAGUAAGAGAUUGCUUCAUUAUUUGUAUAGUCUUGUCAGGUAACUUGAAACUUUUCUGUAUUUUGAUUUAUGUGUGUCUUUCUCUAUUGCCUGCCAUAUGUUUGAUCAAAUGUCGCAAUGAGAAAGGAAAUCAGGGAUUGGAAUUUUUGAUGUCAGUACUUGAUUGAUUAUUUCUUCUUGUUAAUUGAUUUGUGCAAAUACCCUCUUUGUUUGUUAUUGUUUUAAGUGUUCUCUUGAUUUUUAUGUGACUAUACUGUAAUUUGAAGUCAACUGCAUGGUUUACUUGGUAAUAUUUUGUCUGGGAUCUGUUAUUUGGGGAGCAGUAUUUUCUAUCAUUGUACUGUGGGCAAUUGUUUUUUGUUUUUGUGAGUGGGUUUAACUGUGGAUUAUGAAUUGACUGUUUUUCAGUGAUGUUUUGGUAGUUUCUUGACUUAGAUCAGAUGUUUUUAGUGUUGUCUGUAACGUGUUAUUAUCUGUUAGCUUUUCAAAGGUAUCCUACAGUUCAAAGGUGUGCAACAAUUUCCGGUGGAUGGAGGAAGUUUCAUAACAAAUGAGUUGCGCAGGCUAUUAAGAAUGGUUUGUUUGUUUCCUAUUAUGAGGAAUUCGGUACCUUAAUGGGAUCUGGUACCUUUACGGGGUCUGGUUGAUGGAACCAGUAAGCUGCAUAUGCGUGGAUAUGUUAUAUGUUAUAGCAUAUUAGUUUUACCUAUGUUAAGAUCUGGUUGGUGGAAGGAGGAUGUAUAACGGUAGAUUUUUAAUUAGGAUAGCUUAAAAAACAUUAAUUAGGAGUUAAUACAUUCAAUUUUGUCCAUAAUUAGUUUAAUGAAACGGACUAGGAUUAAAUAGAUUGAUGGAUUAUAGGAAAUAUAAAAAGUUUAUAGGAGUCAUAUCAGGUUUUUUAAAGGUUUUUUAAAGCAUAGAGUAGGCUCUUAUUUCAGGAAGGUUCAAUAAUAAAAUUAAGUUAGACUUGAUAUGAUCACAUUCCAUAAACAAUUAUUUAGAAGUAACUAUCGAUCUUGCUAAUAUAGAUGCUUUAAAAUUUUCCAUUUAUUCCCGAAUCUUUCGUAUUUGAGAGGCUACUGUAUUUGUACUUAGUUUAUGAGACUUGUUUAUGCUAUUAUUGUUACACAAGAAUAUUUUAGUAUUUUGUGUCUAACCAAAGUUUUCACUUUGGUUAGACUUUUUAAUCUUUUCACAUUUAUAUCACUUUCUUUAUAAGUUCUAAUAUUUCUUAUUUUUUUGAAUAAGAUGUUAUGUUUUUUGUGAGGAAUUAUAUAUUAUAAUUCGUUUAUUUUCCCACAAUUUUUACAUUUUUCUUAUAUUAUCAUCCUCAUGUUUCUCUUUGUUUACUUUGAUUUUCAGGAUCAUGGAAAAAGAUCUUAUGGGUUUUCUUAUCAGUCUUUAAAGUCUUAUUAUCUAAACGUCCGGAGAUAUCUUUGCGUAUCUUUCGGUUAGAUGAUAAACUUUUUUAGAUGAAAGAAAUCCCUGAUGCGGCUAUUGUAUCCUUGAUACAACUCAUCUACGAGCAUGUAGACCCUGAAAAAAAAAAAAAAAAAAAAAAAAAAAAAAAAAAAAAAAAAAAAAAAAAAAAAGAGAAAGAGAGACUUUUCCUAAUGUUGCUUACGAGUUCAAUCUCAAGCGUGGCAAGAGGCCCAAGACCCAUGUAAGUGGAGAUUACUUGACACUGGGUAUUGGUCCUGCAGAAUGGCCUUCAGUCGAUUGAAAAAGUAGCCCAAUAACUGUGCCGCGCCGCCGCGGCAGUAAAUCAGACUAUCACUGUGGUUAGGCACCAAUUUAGAUUCACUCUAAUUAUAAAAAUAUUUACUAAAAUGUAUUGAGAUUUUUGGUUUAUCUUACUUUUUAAGAAUAAAUUUUUAUUUCUAAAUAUAUAUAUAUAUAUAUGAAAAUAAUUUUACUCAUAUUUGUUAGAAAGUAAAUAUGAACCAUCUUCUUAAUAUUCAUUUCUUGAAAAAUCUAAAUAAAUAAAAUAAUUGUAUCAAAAAUAAAUCCUUAUUUUCGAAAUGACUUUUUGGCCAAACAUCCCAUUAAAGAGGCCAUAUUACUGGUCGACGACUACUAAUAAAUUACGGUUAUUUGAUUUGUUUACAUUAAAAAUACAUGUAAUUAAAUAAAUAAUAUGCUACCACAUUGUUCUUAAGUCCGAAUCUCGUCCAUCACAUAUCAGAAUUAGAUAUUUGUAUUCUUAUUUUUCAAAAUACUAAAAAAGGUUAAACAUAUUGUCUCAUUUAAUUUAAUUUUAAUUAAAAAAAAAUAUAAUAUAAUUAAGUUUUAAUACUUGUCGAUCAUUGUUUAUAUCAAAAUUUGACCAUUUAUAGUUUAUUAUUAUUAUUUGAAGUUAAUUUAGAUCACGUAAAUUUAGAUAGUGCAGGUGAAAAAAAUACAGUAUAUCUAUUAUAAAUACAGGAUAAUUUAUUUUUGAAAUAUAAAAUAAGGAAAUGUGAAGAUGGAGUGAGUAAUUAAUACAAAAAGAUUUUUCCUCUCUACAACAUAUGGACAUCCAUCGCGAUCAUCAUCAUAACCUCUGGCUCCUAGAUUUUCCUCUAUGGUCUCUGGCGACACCCCACGCCUCUCCUAUUUUUCUCCUUUUAUUCCUUUCUGCUUUGGCUUCUCUCCGUCACUGUCCCGCUUACCAUAUUUGAAAAUAUAAUUUUAAGAUAACGACUUUUUCAUCAUAAUUGUAUGAGCCAGUUUGACUAUUAGUCUGGUAUGGUUUUCACGAAAUAAAUACUUGAUUUUAUUUUAAUCACGUAAAAAAAGUAGUGAGUGUUAAAUGAGGGUGGUUUAUGAAUAUGUGAUUAUAAUAAUCUUAUAAAUAGAUGACAUAAAUAAAUGGAAGGAUCAUUCUUUUUUAGACAUCCAAAAAAAGAAAGCGACUCACAUAAAAUGGUUGGGACAGAAGGAGUAAAUAGAUAUGAAAUAUUAAUAAAUAAUAAUACUACUUACCCCAAAAAUUCGUUCCGAAAAUCUUUUCUCAAAUGACGUGGUGAUACCUAUUUUUAAUUGGUUGGUUGAUAUGCAUACAAGGUUCCCAUUAUUUUUAAUCACACAGUGCCACUUGGAUUUGGGAAAAAAUUAGGAACUUUUUUGGUUACUUAGCAUUUUCCAUUAAUAAAAUUAGUGAUAUAACUAUAUCAUAUAUAAUUAAUGUAAUUAUACUAAAUAAAUAAUAAAAAAAUAUCCCUGACAGAAAAAUAAAAAAAUAUCAUGUUUAAUAUUGUUUAACAUGUAACAUUUAUAUAUACAAUUAUUCAAAUAGGACGAAUAUAGGGGAUGUUUGUACAAAUUUUUCUUUUCAAAUUUAAGGGUUUAAUUUUCUUUUAUAAGCAUUGUUUUUUUGGUAUAUAAUUAUUAAGAACGUGUGUUAAAUUCAUUAUUUAAUUAAAAAUAAAGACUAUUUUUAAAGAUAUAUUUAAAUUUAUAUGUUUUUUUAAAAAUAAAAAAUAAAAUUAGUCAAAAGACAACUCUCUCGCACAUAAAGAGGCCGGGACUAGUUUUACAGCAAGACCUUGGACAAAGCGCCCCACCGUAAACACGUAGUGUGAAGGACAAAGGACAUAAUUAUUGCGUAAUUAAUACAGUUGCUCAAUCAAGGACCACAACAUUCAAAUACUCGUUUAUCAAGAACUACACCAUGUCAAUAUUGAAUAGGCUACGGAAAAAAUGGUGCAGUGAUUUGCGGGGCUUCAUUUUUGCACACCGACAUUGACGUAGGUUAGCUAUACACUUCCUUCCCGGAAACACCGCGGUUAAAAGUUUUGUGACUGCUAACAAAUGUUUGUUUUUGUAAUAAGUCAAAGCCAUGAAUAAGUUAGAAGCUGACUUAGAACAAGAAGUUGGUUUGAGAUAUACGGAACCGUUUGGCUUGACUUAAAAAAAGUGAUUCAUUGCUUAAAUUAAAGAAGUGGAUUAUAAAUAAGAAGCUGAGUUGAACUUAUAAGUUAUUAUAAGUGUUUGGAUAGCGUGACUUAUAAAUUUUUAGGUGUUUGGAUAACUUAACUUAUAAGUUGGUACAGUUUCGUAGUUUUGUAAUAUAAUUAUUUGAUAUUUACGAAUUAAAUUGAGAAAAGUUGAUAAUAAUAUUAGAUUAGAUUAAUAUUUAUAUUAUAUAAGUUUUUGGUUUGCUUUGUCUCUCAUUUUGUUAUAAAUUUUAUUUAUUUAUUUCUUAGGAUUAUAUUAAAAAUAUAAUUUAGGAAUGAACAAAAAAGUUUGAACAAACUUCUAUUAUUAUAACUUAUUCACAAUUAAUAACUUAAAUAAGUAAAAUUAUGAUUCGAAACUAUAUUUUGUAAUGGACUAAAAUGUCUCACAUUUAAAUGAUCUAUAAGUGUGUUUAAAAAUUUAUAUAAAUAUUAAUAUAUAAUACUAAUAUAUUUGAGUAUUAUAUAAAAUUAAAGACAUAAGUUUAAAUAGAAAAAAAAAUUUAUAUUCAAUUAUCUCCUUGAAGAUAACACGAACACUGAAUGAAGUAUGCAGCAGGAAGCGGAAGAAGUUUAAGUUGGCUCCAUACAAAAGCUAAGAUGUGUAGCUUUUUUUCCCGACUUCUUUUACAGUUUUAAGUGCUUCAGUUUGUUUGCCAAACGGUUGGCAAAAAAAGAAGAAAUGGGCUUCUGGCCUUUUAAGCCCAGAAGUCCCAUUCCCAAACACACACGGCAUACUAUGGUUAAAAUAAACUUAGGUAUUAUAAUGAAAGAUUAUAAUAAUAAUAAUAAUAAUAAUUAUUAUUAUUACUAUUAUUAUUAUACCGGUUUUUUUAGUGUGUGCCCAUGGGCACAUACUAAGCACUAAAACUUAUAAAUUUGUAAAGUUUUGAUUGGCUUACCUUCUCUAAUAACGAUGGACCCUCUGUAGUUACAGCAACCACACCAAUCAAAACCCUCCAAAUUGAUGGAUUUUUGUGAUGAUCAUGUGUCCAGGGCACACACUAGACAAACCCUUAUUAUAUACUCCCUCCGUUUUUUAAUAUAUGAUGUUUGACUUUUUGGCACAUACUUUUAACUGCUUUGACCGGGUUGUUAAAAGUAUUAUUUUUUAAAUUUUCUUUUUCUGAAUAAAAAUAUGUAAUCAAAAUUUUAAUUCACAAAAAAAAUCAAUUAAAAAUAAUAUUUUUUAUUAUCCGGUCUACCCACCUAAAAAUACGUGCCCAAUUCAAAAGUGUCAUAUAAAAAAAAAUAGAGGGAGUAUUAGAAUUUCCAAUUUGUUGAUCGCAAAUCCCAUAAAUCCAUUUUUACACUGAUAAACACGUAUUUUAAUAUUUUUAUAAAACAUAAUUACAUGAAUUAUUUUGGAAUAAAAAUUUAAAUAUUAAUUUUUUAUUUAAAAACGUUAUAAAUAAAUUAUAAAAUUAUAUUUUACAAGAAUAGCAAAAUAUAUGUUGUUUUUCCCUCGUAAAAUAUAUACUACUCUCUCCGUUUCAAAUUAUAUUUCCAUUUUAUAAAAAUCGCAUAGUUUAAGAAAAAUGAAUUUUACAGAAAAAAGAAGGUACAUGAAGUCAUUAAUUGAACAUAUCAUGUGGCAUAUGGUUAAUCUUGAAAAUAGAAAUUAGAAAUAUGGGAAGGAGAGUUGAUUUUAAAAAUAUAAAUUCAUAUCAAAAAUUGAAGUGAACAUAUAUUUUGAAAUAAUUUUUUUAUAUAAAAUGAAUAUGUAUUUUAAAACAGAAAGAUACUAUUAAGGAGGGAAGGGAAUACCGGUAAUCUGAAUUGACAUCUGCCCUUGUAAACACGUGAAUUUACAGCUAGUAAGAUUCAAAUCUUGGUUGUCACCGACUCAGCCAGGCUCCCUGUCAAAAUAACUCUGUUUCAAUAAACUUUUCCCGUUUAACAUGUGUGAGAUAAAUUAUUAAUUUACAUAAAUAUUUUAGUUAAAUAUUUUAGUAUGGUUAAAUUUUUAUAUUUAAUACUAAUACAAAAUUAGAGACAUUAACGAUUAAGUGGGCUGAUAUCAUGGAGUUUAAUAGUAACGCAGCAAAAGAAGGAAGCAAAAGUAAAACAAAUAUAAUGACAUAUAUAUAUUAAAUUAAAGUCAUCACCCUCUAAACUUUAUUUUUAUAUAAUAUUAAAUAUCAUAUAUCUGUAUAUAGGAAAAUAUCAUCUCAAAUAAUUAAUAAAAUAUUUAUUUAAUAGAUUUAAAAAUCAAAUAUGAUGAUAUGUUUAUUUAAUAGACAUGAAAAUCAAAUAUGAUGAUAACUUCUUUUUUUGACAGAAAAUAUGAUGAUAAUUCUAAUAUUGUAUAGAUAAGUAUUUUCGCUAUACCGAAUUCAUUUGAAAUUCUCUUCGACAUAUAUACCAAUUAAGUAGCAUAAUAUCAAGGAGUGUGUAAUAGUAACGUAGUAAAAGAAUGAAGAAAAAUAAAAUAAAAAAUUGUAGUCGUGUUCUCUAUAACAAACUCCUCGACUUUACCUAGACACACACAAACUCUACGACUCUAUAUAAGCACCAUCUCAGUAUCCUGCUUGAAACCCAUCUAUCUUCGAUCUUUUUAACAAUGGCUGCUCCAUCUCCAACACCCCUUUUGAAAGAUGAGCUUGAUAUAGUCAUCCCCACCAUUCGAAACCUUGAUUUUCUUGAGAUGUGGAGGCCCUUUUUUCAGCAGUAUCAUCUGAUUAUUGUUCAAGAUGGUGAUCCUUCAAAGACUAUUAAUGUCCCUCAAGGCUUUGAUUAUGAGUUGUAUAAUCGUAAUGAUAUCAACAGGAUUCUGGGUCCUAAAGCUUCUUGCAUCUCCUUCAAAGACUCUGCUUGUAGGUGCUUUGGGUACAUGGUUUCUAAGAAGAAGUAUAUCUAUACCAUCGAUGAUGAUUGCUUUGUAAGCUGUUUCUAGUACCCUUUUUGCUAUUUUGUUGAUUUUGUUUCUUGAUCUGGGUUUUAUGGUUUGAUUUUGUUGUUUAAUCUUGUAAAGUACUGUGUUUUUUCUAGGGUUUUAGCCUCUAAUUUUUGUGUUAAAUCUUGUGAAUUGCUAGUAUUUUGAGGGUUAUCGAGUAUGUUAUUUGUUUUGGUUUGUUGGUUGAUGAAAGAUCGGUUCUUUGACUUAAUUUGACUAGUGGAGUGUAGAUAUUUGUUUAGUACAACAGUUUGCUUUUUUAUUUGAUUUGAGAUUUUUAUUCAAUUUUAAUGAGGUUUAUGUGCUUGAAUCUGGAUUCAAAUUCUGUGGUUUGCAAGAAACUUUCGAAUUUAGUGAAUCUGUUUUGCUCUGUCCUGUGUUCUAAGACUCUUUUACAUCAUAGAUUUGCAUCUGAUCGGCUCUGUGUAUGCUUGUUACUGACCUGUAUAUUAGUCUGCUCUCAAUUACCACCAGUCUUUAAUUUCAUGGUCUUGAUUAAUGCAAAUGUGUAUGCUCUGUUGCUCUGUUUCCUUUAAACUCAAUCUGUUUAUAGACCAAAUUUGUAUUCGGAUCGCACUACGAAAUCUGCUGGAAUCUGUGAUACAAGAUUUUGCUCUUAUAAAAGCCAUAUAAGUAAGAAAACGUGAAUCAUGGUUUCUCAAUUGUUCCUGUUGUAAUGGUAUGUACAGGUUGCCAAAGAUCCAUCAGGAAAAGAGAUCAAUGCUCUUGAGCAGCACAUCAAGAACCUGCUAAGCCCCUCAACUCCAUUGUUCUUCAACACCCUGUAUGACCCUUACAGGGAUGGUGCUGACUUUGUUCGAGGUUACCCGUUCAGUAUGCGUGAGGGUGUCCCAACUGCUGUUUCUCAUGGUCUUUGGCUCAACAUCCCUGAUUAUGAUGCCCCCACUCAGCUGGUUAAGCCCCGUGAGAGAAACACUAGGUACAAGGUUAAGUUACCUUUACAUUGGAAUAUGAUUGUAUGGAUUUAACAUCCGUUCCUUUUCAGGUAUGUUGAUGCUGUGAUGACCAUACCGAAGGGAACUCUCUUCCCGAUGUGUGGUAUGAAUCUGGGAUUUGACCGUGAACUCAUUGGGCCUGCAAUGUACUUUGGACUCAUGGGAGAUGGUCAGCCAAUUGGGCGUUACGACGACAUGUGGGCUGGCUGGUGCAUCAAGGUAUUGUUUAGUUUCCCUUACACCCAUUUCUUGCUUUAACCGAUCGUCUGAAGUCUUAAUAUUAAUAUUUCCCAAGACUUCAAAGGUUGUUACUUGCAAACAUAGGAGUGACUGUUCUUUAAUUUUCUUUUUGGUUGCAGACACUGAUCAUCUAUAGUCUUAAUUUCCAUGUUUCCUGAGAAAUUAGAUUUUAUAUUUAAAACUUGGUAUGCAUUUCAAAUGACUUGAGACAACUAUAUUCAGAUUGUAUUUACCUAAUAUCUACCAACAUUUGACAUGUGUAGGUGAUCUGUGACCACCUGGGUUUGGGAGUGAAGACAGGUCUGCCAUACAUCUGGCACAGCAAAGCAAGCAACCCCUUUGUCAACUUGAGGAAAGAAUACAAAGGCAUCUACUGGCAAGAAGAGAUUAUUCCCUUUUUCCAGGCCGCGACCCUUCCCAAGGAAUGCACCACUGUUCAACAAUGCUACCUCGAGCUCUCCAAGCAAGUUAAGGCGAAGCUUGGAAAGGUUGAUGAUUAUUUCAUCAAGCUUUCAGAUGCUAUGGUCACAUGGAUUGAAGCUUGGGAUGAGUUGAACCCGUCAGGUGCUGCAGCAGCAGCAGAUGUUAAGGUAAAGAAGUAAACGACAUUUUGAGAGAGAGUGGGAGAGGGAGUUGUAGGCAUGUAAUCCUAAAAGUAAUUCUUUUGCUUUCAAGGUUAAUUAGGAUCUUAAUUUCCUCACUCUGCCCUGCACUGUUGAGAGUAUUAUUUAGUUUCCAUUGCUUUUUUAUUGGAUUAAGUUAUGAAUUACUUUAUACAUUAUGCUUUUUUGCAUAAUAUUGGGAGAUAUUAAGGUAUUUUCAAUUGUUAUUGUUCUCUGAUUUGAUGAAUCUGGUAGUACUACUUUCAUUAUGCUAUUUUGCAUAAUAAUUUAGAGAACUUCUUAUUCAGACAAGUGCUUCUCGUUAAGUUUGCUGUUGGGUUAUGGAAUAUGGUUCUUUAUGUUCUGUGUUGAGUAUUUUUAGUUGCUACAGAAUUUGAUGAAUAUAGAUUUCCACAGAUUAAGGUAGAUAUUUAUAAAAGUUAAACAAGAUGGAUAUACACACAAAGUAGUACAUGAAGUUAAAGUUUAAAAUCACAGUGAGCUUGAAAUGUCGUGAUACAAGCAUGUCAUAUUUUAAACGGAGUUUCUAGUGUACCAACAGCACUAUCAACUAGGCUGACUAAUACAAAAAUUAGAGCAUCUUCUUUUUUUUUUUUUUGAACUAAGAAAUUUUUAAAUAGAUGCUAAUCAAUCAGACUCGAGCAAAAUGUAUUCCAUCUCUAUUACAGUAUUGUGCCAGUAACAAGUCUUUCUUGAUCGCAAGCAUCUCCACUGUCAUGGCUGAAUAUGAAUAUGAUAAAAUGUCAUGUAGAGCCGUUUAAUUGGAAUUGUGAUACGAUCAGAGUCAGUUUUGCUUGAUUAUUUUGAUAUCAUAUACGAUUUCUGAUUUUAUUUUCUUUAAUUAAUUAAGUUAAAUAUUAUUUUAAAUAUAUUUUAGUAUCAUAUUUUGUAAGUUCGAAGUAUUUUUUUUCUUUCUUAACCAAAUAUAAGAGUUUGGAAUGAGAAUAACUUAAAACGAGCUUACAGAUGGAACUAACCAAACAAUCUCUUAUUUUUCUUUCCGCCUCUUCGUCAACUCAUUGAUAAUAAUUCAUUAUUUUAUUCAAUUGACAAUAUUAAAACAACUUAAAAAUAUUUAAAUUGUGGUAGUUGAUCAACUUCCUGAUGAGAGCCGUAAGCAGCGCUAGUCGAUGAUUGUAAUUGCUCACUGUUACUCUGUUAGCACAAGGUUGGUACAAAAAUAGUAAGAAAUUAACAUCGAAUUCUUUUUGAUGAUUGAAGUAGGUGACCACCCAACAUAAUUUAGACUUUAUUUGAGAUUUUGUUCAAAAUUGUUGUGCUGCUGGAAGAGUAAAUAGGGUAGAAAUCAUAUAAAAAUUAAUAUUUUCGAGCACGGUUUCAUGAUGAAAUAUGUAAUAAUUUCAUUAAAAAGUAGAAAAUAAAUUAUUUUUUUUCAGGAAGGACCUGUUUUAUUUUUAAAUUUACGAAACAUGUUUUUGUUUAAAUUUCAAAAAACCAUAAUAUCAAACGGCCCUUGUUUCAAAAAAAAAUAAAUAAAUCAAACGGCCCGAAAGAUAAAACGGAAUUGUAUUUGGACUGGUCACUGGUGUCAAGAAAAGAAAAGAUCAUUGGACCUAAUUUUACUUUCGGCCCAUACAUGAGCUCUAUAUCAACUAAGAAAUUGUGGCGCAGGCCUAUUACGAACUUGUGGCCCAAAUAAAAGUUAAAAUUUAGCGCGGGAACCGCCUUAUUAAAAAUCCUAACAUCCCGAGGUUUAGGACUGAAGACAUGUAUAUAUAAAUAAUAAAUUGGGUUAUUCAGCUAAAACAGAAUCAUAAUCAUAGUAUCACUUGAGCUCUGGCGGUGAUAAUCAUGGUGUUCAUCAAAACAAAGUGGAAUUUCUGUGGUUUUGAAUGUGGAUGUUGAUACAAAGCACACAACAUUAUCAUCACUUAAACAGGAGAUUGCAAGGAAGUGGAUCAUCCAGCCCACGCUUCAGAAAUUGUAUCUUGGGGUGUCUGAGGGCUCGAAUACGAGGAGAUUCUCCGUAAUCCAGCAUUGCAAUUAAGAGAUGAUUUGUAUCCAGGUGGCAAUCAGUUGUCUCUAGCUUAACUUGGAGUCAAGCUCUGGACUACUCUUUUGCUUGUUGGUCCUGUUCUUAGGCCUCACAGUUUUUUUGAUUCUGAUGAUGCUGUUGUUUUGUUCAAGUCCGAUGGUGCUGGUUACGUCGCGUUUCAAUGGAAAACGGGUGUCAAGAUAAUGAUGGAGCAGGAAUGUGAGUCGCUGAUGAUGAACAAGAAACAGAAGAUGGCUUAAAUUUCUGAGUAUGUGUGAUACUGUUAGUUCCAGACUUUAAAUUCAUCUUUUUCUAGGGUUAUUUGUUGUGUUUGGCUUUUAUUUGAAGAGGAAUUUCUGCACAGUUUUUGAACAAAAAUCUUAUACCAUGCUUUAAACUAAUAUCUUUUACUUUAGUUUAGAGGCUAUUCCUCUUCCCUCGAAAGAGAUGGUUCAGUCAGUAAAUCAAAUUGACACUUGAAUCACAGAAGAGUGUGUUACGACUUAAAGUUUUGUAUUUAUAUGAAUGCAGCUGCAACUAAAUUUGUACUGUACCACUGAGAUCAGCUCAAUGUUCUGCAAUGAUCAUAGCUUCACGGCUUCACACAACUAUCUGCUAUGAUCAUAGAUUCAGGCAACUAUCAAAACCACACGAGUUUCAUGAUUUACUUUUAACAAGAAACUGCUAAGAGCACAACUUUUAUAAGCUCAAAAUAGAGCAGUAUUAGCACUGAAUAAAGCAGUCAAUAGAAAGGUACAAUCUUCAAAGUACCCACUGUUGAAAUUAUGAACCAUAGCUCUCUUUAAGAAAGUCAGACAUAAGAAAUUGAAUGUAUAACAAAGUGGACUAAUCACGAACAGGAUUAUAUCAUUCACAAGAUAAGCUGAAUCACCACUGCUAAAGAUGACUAAAUUCUUGACAUACAUAGAUAUGAGUGCUAUGCAUGAUUACCUAAUAAGCAUAAUUGGAACAGUCAGGCGCCGGUUAAGCGUCUAUCUCUACUUCCUAGGCUGAGAUCCUAUGAAAAUCUGAAAUUCUGAGUUCUUUUUUCUCUAGUUAACUGCUUCUUAGCACUUGGCCCCUGUCACAAACGAUAACGUUGAUCUGCAAGAUACAGAAGUAUGAUUGUGUAAAAGAGUUGAUAAGUCCAACAGGCAGACUAAACAUGACUUUGCAGUUUCCAUAAGAAACAUAACUAUUUCACAGAGAGUCAAGUCCAUAUCCUUCACUGUAAGUAUCGAAUAAAUUCUGGACUUUAACACAAGAACUUUCUAAAUUUAGUACCAAAAGUAAAAUUUAAUGUGUUUAUGUACUGUUAACAGAUAAGUAUAUAAAACUUAGUUAGCAGUCAACAACAAAUGAUUCAACAACUUAUCUUAGAGACACAAAUGGCGAAGGAUAAAGUGAUCCAGUUAAGCAUCAAGACAUAACAGAGAUUAAUCAAGAUAUCCUCGAAAAUGGAAUGUUUUAACAGAAAUGUUCAACUUUAUUUAGCAGUUAGCACAUGUAAAAUAGAGUUCUAGAGUACCUUAUUCCCUAGACAUUAUAAGUGACCUGGAAGCUACAGGAAAGAAUCAUUUCUAGGCUUUUCAUGCAGAGAUUGUCUUUGAUCCUCCACUCGCUGAAGCUGUGAUGACAACUGUAGCAUAUCAAUAGUGGGUUCAUCUCCACAAGAAAGGUGUUCCUUACCACCAUUUAUGUAAUUAGAACCGUGAAACAUCCCAUCGAUCCCAUAGCUGACGACAGCAUUACUACCACUUGUAGUGAUCAUUCGGUUCAAGUGAUUCUCUGCAGAAUUCAUCCCAGAUGAAAUAAAUUUAUUCGAAAUUUCAUUCUUUGAAACUUGUGGGCUCAGUCCUAAGGGUUUCUCUGAUACUUGAUUUACAGUAUAGUGCUCAUGGCUGCCUGGGAUGAUCAAGGGAUAUGCCAUGAGUAUUCCUGAGGUAUGGCUUGAAGAAGUUUGUGAUUGAGAUGACAGAAGAGAGAGAGCACGACCAGAGUCGGGAAACCCUGAUAGCGCUUGAACAGUUAAUGGCGAGUCAAAACCAGUAAAAGUUUCACUUCCUGAUGAGGCAUUUCGAAACAAGUUACUGUUUUUACUGGAUUUGCUUUCCGACAUGUGGUAUAUACCAUUUCUAUCCGUAGACAGGCAAUGUUUAUCAAAACCAUAGGAAGGAAAAUGGGAUCUUGGAUGGAACCCUCCACCUGCAACGGUUAUUGCUGACUGUGAACUAUAAUUAUCCGCUUCUUCAAGUUUUAUAUGCUUAGACCAGUAGUCAUUUGAAGCCAACUUUUGUGGCUGAGAAAGGUACCCUGGAAGAACAUCUUGGCGAAUGAAAGACGAUGUUGAUACAGUCGUCUCCUGAAACCUGCCAACUGCAGAACCUCAGUUCAGCAAAUGUCAAAAUUAGAAAUACUUAGAACAUAAUUCGCGAUUGCAAAUUAGUACAAAAAUGGUUGAAAAUAUAAGGCAAUAAACUGAAGCAAAAGAUUAAACUGAUCUUACAAAAAGAAUGUCAUUUCAUUCGCUGUACUUGAACAUUUGCGGAUGAAAAAUCAGUUUAACAAAUAAACACCACAAAUUAAGCAUAAUUCACAAAGUACAGAGUUAGAUUACAAUAACCAGUGGAAAGAAGGCCUAUGAAAUAGAAUAGAGGAUGCCGUUUACAAAGUGCUUCAGUGUAAGAUUAAUUUACCAUUAUUAUAUGUCGGAUACAACCUCGAUCUAACAGAGUGAAUACCCGCAUGAGGUUUCCUGCGUCGCUCAUUGUGCCCAGCAAGACGUUUCCGGCAGCUACGCUUACCAUCAUCAAAUUCAACCAACAAGUGGAACCUAAACAAAAAAGGCAAGAACAUGUUAAUUGAAGAAAAACGUAUUCCAACUAAGCUUAAGUUAUAAUAUAAGACCCACAGGUUCUUGUUCCAUCUUGAUUUAAAGCAGAAACAUGAUGCUGGCACUUUAAAAGGUAGAUGUUGACCCCCUUUACCAAAAGCAGUUCAGAAGAUCAUGAAGAUAUAUUUUAAUUAUAUAUGGACUAUAUAUCAACUAACCAUCAUCUUAGAAACAACAGCUAUAUGCUUGUACAUAUCAAUCUAAGGAUACUAUGAAAUUUAUAUUAGAGAAACAACCAAGGAGUCCUAGAAGUCCAGUAAAUCUACCUGUAACACACAAUUGGUAAAUUUUGUAUAUGGAUAUUUAAAGAAUAUGAAAAUAGAAACCUAAGUUUCACUGGACAAAGAAUGGAGUAUGCAAUAAAAUUGACAACCAAGAGUCAAGUACUCCACUGACUAGUCAUAAUGAGAAAUUAGUAGAUUCUGCAAUGGGAAACUCAAGGCUUCUUAUGCUUUCUUCUAGUUCUUUAUCAAAUAGUACAUAUACAAAUAUAUAUAAACAAUAUAAUUUGGUAUAUCCUAAUUAUAGGGAUGCUUGGAAAUUUGGAAGACAAAAGUAAACAACAAAGGGGGCCAAAACUGACCUGCUGCAUUGCUGACAAAAUCUUUGUUCAAUGCCAUUAACAAUAACUUUAGGAGUCUUGGAGUGAACCUCACAAACUUUAUGCCUCUUGUGAUAAUCUUUACAUGAGCUCAGAUCUUUCUUGCAUCCAUAAACCUGGCAAUAGGGGGUCAGAGAAUUCAAGCCCCCCACUCGAGUUCUCUUCCCCGUAACAGACACCGUAUCAUUUGAAUAAAUAUUGGGAGCCACUCGAGAGCUAGGCAAUUUCUGAACAUCUCUUUGAUCAUCAAACCUCCCCAACUUCAAAUCAAUGAGAGAUGAAUCUGCAGAAUUGAAGUCCAUGAUUGAGCUAGGAAGCUUAGCACUAGGCUCUUCUUCUCCCCAGAAGGCAUUUUCCGCAAGCGAAUUGAACAUUCUUACACCACUAAGCUUGGUACCUAAAGCAUCCUUAAUUGAGCCAUUAGAUAUAGAUUUUCUCAGUGUUUCUUGAUGACCCAAGUCAAGAAUUCCCAUGUUCUCUAUACCCUCUUGACUUGAAGAUCCUAAUCCAACGUUAUUAUCAUUAUUAUGACUACCAUAAAAAGGGGACUUAAAUUCCCAAUCCAUUGCUCCAUUUCUUCCUCUUGCAAUAACAUCAGAAUCUUCAGACACAAACCCUCUCUCCCCAGAAACAUAACUCCAAGACUCCAUUACACAAACUUAUACUGAAAACAAUAUUUAUCUGUAUAUCACUUUUUAAAGAGCCUAAUGAACAUCACAUAAAACCUUAAAAGUUAAAACCCCACCUAAUUGAGGGCAAAACCAAAAACCCAAUAAUUAAGAGUGGGUGAGAAAAGGAGAAAAGCCCAAAACAGAAAAUGAAUGUGAAUGAAGAAGCAAAGGUAGGUAAACAAAAGGGUUGGAUUUAUGCUUCAAUAAUGGAAACACAGAAGCAUUGAGGGAGGUGGAAAGCUAUCACACUACAUUACACCAAGUGAAUGUGUGUAAAAAAGUGGGUCACACACUGAAAAGAAAAAACUGAAAGCUGUCCAUAAUGUUAAAUGUGUGGGACUCUACACAAACAGACACUAUGUACAUUAGUGUUAGUGUGAGUGUUUGUAUGUGAAACACAACAACAACAACAAACAAGGUUUAUGGGAGCAACCAUCUCAACUUUCCUUACCACUGCUAAGCCUGCUUCCCAUCAAUUAUCUCACAUCAAUUUUUUUAAAAAAAUUCGCGUAUACUGAAAAAAAGAUUUGCGUAUAAUAAAAUAUGAACACAAGUCGAAUUUUAUGAUAACCAACUUGUCAUUUAAUUCAAUAAUAAGAUUUGUUAACAAUAUGUGAGUGUCAGUGACAAAAUUAAUGAGAAAAAACAAAUGAAGGUAGUUGGAUGAAAAUGAUACAGACAAUAGAAAUAAAAGAGAUGUUGCAUUAGCUGAUACUUUCUACUUUUUAGCACCUGCCUUCUCAAGUUCCAUGGAAGAGUUUGCUUUUGUGUGAGAAAUGAGAAUAGACUUUCCUCACUCAGCUUUACUUAGCAGAGAGUAGAAUUCUUAUUUUUCCACACGUCACUGCAAAAUCAAAAAAAUCUUUUAUAAACCAGAAUUUCAGGCAAUUCCUAACACAUCAAAUUUGUGCCUUGGUGUUUCAAUCUUCAUCACACAUAUAUAAUUUGGGGUUCUGAAUCAUAAUAAUUUCCUAUAAAUGUGUUAAUCUCGUGUCGUGCUUUCAGAAGUUGUCGAAAAAUCCAUAAAAAUCUAUGAAUAGGCAAGUAAUCCAGAGGAACAAGUGUUUUGCUUGAUUAAUUUUGUUCCAACAUGACAUGCUUAAAAAAUGUGUUUUCAUCUAAAAUCAUGAACAGAAUUAAAGGGAAGGGUCCAGUUACAGUUUACAAGUCUAGGGACCUCCAAUAAUAUAGCACUGACAGACUGAAGUCAGAUGUAUUAUCAAACACUGUAAUUUCCUACAAGGUGGAUUUGAGCUUCAAAUAAAAUCUGUGAAUUUAAUAAUUCACUCCAAAAUGGUUUUUGUAUUUUUUGGCUAAUAAGUCCACAAAACUGAACUUCACAUGGUCGCUUCUUAUUAUUGUUCCUCAACUCUGUAUCCCAAAACAACUCCUUUGUUGUUAUUAUUCUUUGUCUUUUUAUAACUCUGAAGUCUGAACCUUGAUUUGUAAAAAUUUUGUUUUGACCAUUUCAAAACAAGGUCUAGUUUUUAGCCAUGAUUGACAAUUUAUUUUGUAAGUUGUGAUUUUUUUUUGUUAGAAAUUUGAAUUCGAGUCCUGACUGACUUUCAAAAAUUCAUGAUUUAUUAUUGUGAUCUCGGCUAUUCUGAAAUCUUAGUUCCGUCAAUGCUAACGAACCAUAUAUCAUAUUAUAGGACACUGUGAUCUGUGUAAGUGUCUGCAAAAGAGAGAGGUGUAUACUUGUGGUUUUUGUCACUGAACGAUGAUUAUAGAAUUUGUAUAAAAAGUUGUUGGUAAUCCUCCGUAGAAAUAAUUAAAUAAUAGUAAGAUUAGUAGUAGUAUGAGGUUGCAUCGUUCCGGUGACAUAGGAACUUGAAUUAAACAAUGAGAUGGACCUGUCAACAACACUGAGUCUGAGGUUGUGACUAGAGAGGUCCCCCUCUACAGAACUCCAUGUGUUGCAAUUGUUUAGGUUUCUGAUAUUUUUAGCCUCAUUAUACAGAUUACUGUUACAAGGCAUCGCAUGCAGGCAUCUACUGUUCUAUGAUCUAUACUCCCUCCGUCCCACCAGAUUCUUUACGUUACUUUUUAGCACGCAUUUUAAGGCUUCUAUAAAGUAUACUUACAUUUUAUAUAUAAUUUUUAAAAAAUUAUUGAAAAAAAGUUUGAUGUCUAAACUUUUAUUCAGAAAAAAAAAAAUUAAAAAAAUAUUAUUCACCUAUCCUUUAUAAGAGCCUCAAAAUGCGUGCAAACAGUGAACGUAAACUACCUGGUGGGACGGAGGGAGUACAUGGUUUCCGGCAAUAAGCGUUCUCCCAAUUAAGAAACCUAGUAAAACUUAUUCUGUUAUGUUAAAUAUGUCAGAAUGUUCAGAAAAUCCAUUCCGGACUAUUUAUAUUAUAAAAAAGGUUCAAAACAUUCAUAAAAUUAUUUCUUUGUUUAAAAGAAUAAUCUAUAUUUUUAAAAUUUAUUUAUUUAUUUAUUUUGUUGGAUAUAUUAGACUAAGAUAACUAAACACAAGUUCCACAAUCAUUAUUUGUAAUUACAUAAUCACCUAUUUAUACUUCAUUAAUUAUUAUUUUAGUAAUAAAAUCAGUAAUUUAUAUUCUUCAUAAUCUUGAAAUCUAGAUAGACUAAUUAUUGUUAAUCAUUCAUGGUUAAUUAUUGAUGGUGAAAUGUGGUUGCAGGAGAUACGUAGUCAGUACGGAUAAAGAUGAUGAGCAUAUGUAUAUUGUAAUGUGUUGGAUUUUUUUUAUAUAUAUAACAGAUUUGUUAUAUAUGCAAUUUUGACCGUUUAAAAAGAAAUAAAUUUAAAAAUACACAUAUUUUUGCAAAUUUCUUUUUUAUUUGUUGGGAGGAGUCCCGUGAACAGGGAACAUGACAGGUGGAUACUACCAUUCACGAAACCAUGAGAGAGUUUGGGGUAAUGCGCAAACCAUUCACUUUCCCACCAGCUAGCGCCUAGCAAUACUUUCUUAAUGUUGAAUAGUCAAAACGUUUCAUUUGUAAAUCCAACAAAACCAAAAUGGUUAGAGGUGGACCAUUACUAUCUUCUCUGGGUGCACAUGCAACAUGCAUUCACGAAACUCCGGAAACAAGUUGAGAAUUUGGAGUUGUAGCUAUCAUAUUAAGGAGAUGACGUUGGUUAGGGCCUAGUGAAGAUUGUUGCCCUACCCAACCAGAAUCAGGAACCCAGAGAGACCUCUUAUAUAUGCGCUCAAAUUAUGUUCAUAAUAUAGUAUAUGUACCAUGACUCGAUUCGAAAUCCGAAAAAACAAAUUAUUAAAACCAAACUAUAUGAGAUAUAUUGCAAAACAAUAUGUAAUUUGAAACGGGAGGAGUAAACUAACAUUUGGUUGUAAAUGAUACAAUAACUGUGUUAAGAGGGGUACAAAAAUUGAGUGACAUACAAAAGGGCAAGCAAUAAGAGAAGUGGAACUGUGGAAGCGUGGGCUGAAUGGUGCCCCAGUGGACUUGAUUUCCUCAAGGAACUUAAAUGAGUGGGGUUCGAGUUGGCACCACCCCAGCACAUUUGAGUGGUGGAGUGGGGUGCUUGAGAAUAGGACAUGACUCCUUUCCUUAUCUUGUUUUUUAUGCUUCCCACAAUCUUCAUUUUUUGCGCACACAGGAAAUUCAUUGUCAAUAAUGCAUCCAUGUAUAGGCUAUUUCAAAUUGUGUAUCAUCUUUGUUUCACCCUUUUGGUUGUUGCAGGAUUUUUAAACCCCAUCUUUGGAAUUAAAGUUUGGUGAAAUAUUAUUUACUUCCAGAGGCAGUAUUUGAUUUAUAUGCCUUGCUAUUAAGAAUUUCUUCCACCAAUUCUUAACGAGCGAGAAUCAACUUGCGAUGACAAGAGAAAAACCUUAUUUGAUAAAAAAUUAAUUUACUUCUCCAACUAAUCAAAAGUGAGGAUAACGUAAAAAAAUCAAAUCACAAAUACCUUCAAUUAUUAAAAUUUAGCAUACAUUUUGCGAAGGGUAUAUCGAUCGUUUAUGAAAAUGAGAAGGUUGAUGUGAAUAUAAUACGAUAAGAAUUUGAAUGAUGUGAGAUUUUAAUAUAUAAUUAGGAAAUGAUUUACUCAUACAAUAAAAUUGAGAUUUUUAUUUUAAAUAUUAAAAUUUACACUCUAAACAUGAUAGGAAUUGUAGUUUUUUGUAAAAUUCAUCAUAAAUUGAAAGUUGCACAGUGAUAUAUAUCUUUCUGCAAUACAUCAAAAAUGUGCAAACCAGCCCUAUUUUCGUCCAUUCUGAAUAAUAAUUGAUUUAUGAUUAAGAUUAAGAUGAAAGUAUUUUAUUUUUAAUAAAUAUGUCAUUUAGUUUUGAAUCUAACAAUGUGUUCUUUAAUUAUAUAACUAUGACACCUAAUUCAUAUACAUAAAUAGAAUAAAUACAAUACUAUUUUACAAUAAUAAAUAAUGUAUACUUACAAUAAUAUAAAUAUAGAUGUAAAACUUGUCGGCACACUAGAAUAUAGUUUUAUUAAAAUAAUGUAUUUUAAUAUUUAUAGAAGAUAUAUUUUAAGAUAAUUGAAUUUAGAUCUCAAAUUUAGAAUUUUUUCCAGGCCCAGAUUCGAUCCAUGCUUUAUUAAAAUAUUGGAUUUGAAUCUGAAAGUUGAAAAAACUAGGCUGAUUCGAUGUGUUGCCACGAAACACAAAACAACCUUAUGAAAAUCAGAAGAAUUUCUGGUUACUAAAAGGAAAUUGUAAUUGGAUUACCUGGAGUAUAAAUCGCAGUGGUGCACACCAAUAUUUGAGAAAGUAGUAAUUAUCGGGAUAUGGGCACGGCGACAUGGACACUGCAAUUGUUUAAAUAUAUGUAUGAUCUGAUGAUUUUAAGUCAACAAAAAUCAAGAAUUAACUCUAAUUCAAGAAAAAUCAACUAAUUCAAGUGACCUAUUUAGUAGUGGUCAAUCCAGCUCCGAAAAUAAGGGGGUCAUAUAUAAUAUUUUGUAAAAAUAAUUAAUCAGUUUACGUUAACUCUUUGAAUAGUUAUGUUAAAAUCAACUCUUAAAUCAUUUUUAUAUUAAUAAUUUUUUCAAUACCAAAAUGAUAACAAAAUAAUCUUAAUGUUCAUAUUAUGUAGUUCUUUAGCGUUGUAUAACAUAAACAAGUCAUGCUCACAUUGAUUCGAAUGUUCAAUACCAAAAAUAAAAAACAAAAUCAUAAUAAUUAUACAAUGUAAUUAUUUACCGUUGCACAUAUAAACAUGUCAUGUUUAUUAAAAAAAACAAGAAAAUCAUUAAUCUUAUGGAAAAAGAACCUAAUGAGUUGUCAUAAGGAAGGGAUGACAUUGCGGAUAAUAUAAAAUCGCGAAGAAGGGAAACAUAAGAUCUCACCAUCCCAAAAAGCGCAGCAAAGAACAUCUAUCAAAUAAUCCUAAUUCCGCAUAGGAAAUCAUGGCUCGCAAAAUUCUUUGAACGUGUGGAUGGUCGGAGCCGGCUUGCCAAAUUUGAUCACUAACCGUACGUAAUAAACAUUGUCCAAGACGUACGUCAGACGAUCUCUGUUAGACCAUCUCCAACCCAUAACAUCGAAAUGGUGUAAUUUUAACUUCAUUUUGAUGUGAAAAUUACACCAUUUUAAAAUUUCACUCCAACCCAUCAAUAUCAUAUCGUAUACCAAAAAAAAUCUUUUUACACAUAUAAUGAAAUAUUCUCCACUUUUUUAAGUCAUUUAUAUCAAUAUUUAUCAAUUUCAUUGCUUAACAUAGAAUUUUAACAAGUUAACUAAACAAGCAUCUCAAAUAAUUAUAAAUUCAUCAACCAAUUGAAGAGAACAACUUAAUUAUUUAAUUUUUGAUACAAGAAUAUAAAUUUAUUAAAAUUUUGGAAUAAAUAAAAAAUGUGAAUUAAAUAUUAAAGAAAGAACAUUAAUAAUAAUUAUGAUUGAAAAAUAAAAAACAUAGUGUAAUAGGACAUAAAAGGAAUAAAUUUGUUUUGUCUCAUAAGUGUGAGGGUAUAGUAGGCAAUUUCAAAAACUCCAAAAUUGGUGUAAAAAUUACACCAAAUGAACACUUGACACCAAAUUUGGUGUCAACGAAUUCAUUUGGUGUAAUUUUAAAACCAUUUUGGUUUUGCAUUGGAGUGACUUUUACACCAAAAAUGACAUCAUUUUGGUGUUUUGGUGUUGGAUUGAAGAUGCUCUUAUGAUUCGACUCGGAGCCGCCGGUGUUGAUUUUAAACCCACGUAUCUGUAAAAUAAUAGGGGAGUAGUUUUGAUUUUAAAAAUUAAAGAAAGUAAAAAAAGCAGUUGAGUAAAGCACCUGGAACCGGAACAUGUACCGGUGGAAGACGAAGGGAGAGAUGUUAACAACAUUUGACGAAACUCUGGGAACAACGAAGAAACCAUCAUCACCACUAUAAAACCAAAUAUAGCCCUCAUGAUACUACUGCCAACUGUGAAAUCCCAAAUCACCAGAAAUAAAUUUCUGUAACUGGUGAUUUGAGGACUCGAUAGUGUUCCAAAUCUUAUUGUAAUUUCACCAUCGUAUGCUCGGUCCAUGAUAAAAUCUAGCAACUCUUUGUUAGGCUGACAGCGGUGGGGCGACGGAGUUUGAUUUCUGGGUCUGUUCUCAUUGUCGAGUGGAAAGUUCUAGUCUGUAAAGAAAGAAAAAAGCUAGACAAAUUCUUCUCCACGAAGCAUGUACUAAAUAAAUAGGGAGCUCCCUGACCACCAAAAACAGUAUUGCUCACAGGGGACCUAUUAUUCAGUUACGAUAUAUUCCAUUCUCUCCUCCUUUUAUUUAAUUCGAAAAUCAUCAAAAAAAAUUAAAUUUUAAGCAUAACGGAAUUCUUCUCAUGUCCCCCCACUGCUUGGUUACAGAAAUGACCGAUUCCCGGAUUAUUAAGAUUUUUAAGAAAGCAGGCCAAGGGUACAAGUCCCCUAGAUUAUUUUCAAUAGGCAAUCACUUUGUUUUAUAUUUUUUGUUGGAGAAUUUUUCCGGUUCAACGAAGUCAAUGUUUUAUUCAUUUUCAUUUGCUUGUUUGAUAUAGAAUAUAAGUCAUCUUGAAAAUUAUUUAGAUUCCUUGAAAAAACAUACCUUCUCAAAAGUUGGAGACAUAUAUCCUCACCAUUAUCUAGCGUAAUUUUAGCCAUAUAUCAACGGAGGAACCCAGAAAAUAUGUAAUUGCAAGAUAUAUUCCUGCAAAAUGGAGCCGUAUUUUCUUGUUAGUUUUUCUGGCUGAUGUGUCUAGUGGCGGAAUCAGGAGUAAGAUUUAAGGGCUCAAAUUUGGAAAUAAGUUAGAUUGUAAAUGACUGAUUGAAAUUUAAAUACCGAACCUCGGUAUCACAUUCAUCAAAGAGAGAUGACCAUCUUUCUAGGUUGCACGUAUUGAUUAGUUAAAAGGUCAGAAAAAGAACAUUGUUCUGAGCAUUAACAUAAAUAUAACAAUAAGAAGCGGCGUCGAAAAAAAAAAUUGACUUACAGAACAAUAAUUUUUUUACGCCUCAUAAUGGCUGUAGACUACCGAAAAAGCGUAAGCAACUGGUUCCAAGUGACAUGGUUUACGUUAUUCCUUUCCAAUAUGUCUCCAUUUCUAUGUGCGGCGUGAUAAGAUAAGGAUCACUAGGGGCCCGGUUUGUCCUUCUUUCCGCCAGAAGUCCAUUGCCGAAAAUAUUAAGCCUAGCAAAGGCAGGGAGUCGGAGAGAGCAGGUCGCAGACAUGUGGGCAUUGGGAGCUGGCCGUUGGGAGGGAGAGCGCAACUGAGCAGGUUGUUGCGGAUUGAAUGAAUUUAUCUCAGUGAGAAGCUGAGUUAGGGUAGUGUCAAGUGUGUGCGUAUGACUUAGAGCAUCUCCAACCCAUCAAAACCCUUAGCUAAAAUUCAUUAAAUCAUACCAUAAAUUAAAAUUAUAGAUAAUGUGUGAAAUUUGCUCCACUCCAACCACAUAUAACCCUUGUCUAAAAAUAUAGCCAACCAAUUGAUGUUGGCUAUAUUUGGCCAACCACUACAGGCCUGUAGCAAGAUUUCGUAUCAUUUAUUACCAUAUGAUAAUAUACAUUAUAUUUAUAACAAUUUGAAAAAAAAUAAUAACUUACUAUUUAUGAAAUACAGCUAACCAAUAUAGUCAGUACCAUCGAAGCAAAAUGGCUUACAGCUUCAACAAAUUUUACAUAAUAUAUUACAUGUCCAAUUUAGCCAAUCACUUUUAACCAACACCGUUGAAGAUGCUCUUAUAAAUGCACUCCCUCCGUCCCAUAAUUCUUCGCUUGUUUGACUUUCCAUUUGCUUCGAUAUUCGAAACCUUUCUAUCCAUACGAUUGAUCAAAAAAACAAGUAGAAGAAAAAACCCUAAUGUUGUGUUUGGUUGGGGUGAAUGGAAUGGAAUGGAAUGAAAUGAGUAAAAAUAAAAGAAAAUGAUAAAGUGUAGGAGGGAGGACUUUGAAAAAAAAUGAGUGAGUGCAAAUUUUGUAUGAUUAGAUUUGGGUAGAAAAUUGGUAUGAUAAGGAAUGGAGCAUUCCUUCACAAAAUGGAGAAUUUGAAGAAUGAAAUAAUAGAAGGAAUGAAAUUAUUAUACAUUCAACUAAAUUAUAGUUCAAAUCUCAUUCCAUUCCCUCCAUUUUCAUUCACCCCAACCAAACACAACAUAAGUCUCUUGUCAACAGAAUGACCAGCUUUUACCACCAUCGUACGCUGUCUUAUGUCUUCGGCAGGGGAUUGACGGAGCUUCGAAAUCGGGUUUCAUUGAUGUAUUCGGUUCUAUAUUUCCAUCUUUCUCUGCCAUGGAUGUUAAGGGUUUAACUACCAAAGCAAAGCUGCUAGAACAAGAGGAAAAAAAAAAAGCUAUUAUAAAUUUAUAACAGACAAAAAAAUUAUAUAGUUUCACGAAUAAUAAGGAACUUUAUACAGCCGCGUGCAACAUAUGUUGCGUAUGGGACUGUUGAGCUAUACUUCAGACUCCUUGAUCGUAAAAGAAUCCUGCCCCGGGAAGAUUUAGAAUUCUUGUUUUAAUUAAUAAACUAUUAAAGCAGAAAAUAUUAAUAUAAGUAUUAUUUAGAGAAUUCAGUUUGAAGAUAUUAAUGUAUUUACAGUUUUUAUGAUCGAUAUAUUUCAAGCUUGAUAAUAUAUAUAGGUUCAAUUGUCAAAAAAAAUUACCAAUAGCAACCGUUAAAAUCAAAAAAAUAUUUAAUAUUAUACAAAUAUUAAUGGACUGUAUAUAUUUAUAAUAAAAUAAAUAAAAAUAUUAAACUUAUCAACACGCUAGAACAUAAAAAAAUGUAUUUUAAUAUUUUUAGAAGAUAUAUGUUAACGUCUAUAUUAAUUAAUAUAUAAAGAUCAUUAGAUUCAAAAUCUGUGAAUUGGAUUUCCAUCUCAAUUUUUGAAUUUUUUUGAGACCGUAGAUCAAAUCCACAUCACAUAAAAAACUUGGAUUUUUUAAUAUUGAAUUUGAAUUUGAAAUUUGAAGAACUUGAUCCCUUCCGAUGCUAAUCAGUGUUCUAAAAAUCCCCGAUUUAACCGAUUAAUCCUCUGCAUGGUUGGCCACCGAUUUGAUUUUUGAAAUCCGAUUAAUCCUUAUAUAUAUUUCUUAAUCAAAAUAUAUAUGAUAAAUUAUUAAAAUUAAAAUACUAUAUUACUUUGAAUAUGAAUAAUUAUAGAGUUUAUGGAUAUAGUAAAUAUAUUAGUUACUAAAUAGCUAAUAUAAUAAUAACUAAAUAUUAAAUAAUAUUUUAAUAUUAAAAUAAAUCCAAUUUUCACUCGAUUAAUCCUUCCGAUUAAUCCCCGAUUUUCGAUUAAUCCCUGAAUCAGUAGCUCAACCGAUUAGGUCCGAUUCCCGAUUCUUGUAACACUGAUCUAGAUACAAAUAAAUAAAAUUUGGUAUUUUAAUUACAAAUAAUCACAUUCAAUAAAGAACAUGUUUUACAAUGUUCAAUUUUUUACAAUAUUAUUUUCUAUUCAAGUUUCUUUAUCCAAAUAUAUAGUAUUUCAAAAAUAUAUUUAAUUGCGACUUCAAUUAACCAAUUACAAAAAAAAACUUACUGCAACCCAAAUUAUCAAAAUGGUAUACUAUCAAAAUUAUUAUUUUCUUUAUGACAAAAAAAAUAAAUUAUUGUUUUCUUAGUUUUGGACAAAUCUUAAGCUAAUGUGGUUUAAGGCUUUAAGCAUCGAAAAGACUCCAUAUUGGUCAGGCAGGCCCAAUAUGCAUGUAGUUUGAAUCUGUGGAAACAGCCUCAUCUUAUCAAUCCCUUACACGUCUUUCCCCCAUUUCUGCUUGGGUUGAUUGCUGUAUUUAUAUAUUUUAUUUAUUUGUCUUGUUUUUAUGAUUAUGGGUCGUGAUAUGCACGAUGCUCGGAUAUUAAAGAUUUUUGAGAUUGUAGCCCAAGUGUUUGAUACAAGUCCUCCAGAAUUAUUUUCAAUAAACAAUCACUUUGUUCUUAUAUUUUCUGUUAGUAGGUAGUUGAGAAUUUUUCCUGUUUUUUUAAUUAGCAAAAAAAAAAAAAAUUCGGUUUUUUAGAACGAGGUCAAUGUUUUGUUCAUUUCAUUUGCUUGUUUGAUGUGGAAUCUUGAAAAUUAUUCAGAUAAAAUUUCCCUUCUGAAAAAUUUCUAGACAUGUCCUCACCAUUCCUUAGUGUGGUUUUAGCUAUAUUUCAACGGAGGAUCUCCAAAAAAUAUGUAAUUUCACAUAAGAUGUAUUCCUGCAAAAUGUAGCCGUAUUUUCUUGUUAGUUCUUUUGGUUGAUGUGUCUGAUUGCUGAACUCAUACGGGCACUUAAUUGAUAUCUAGGUGGACCUUGUGUACCUGUAGUUUCUUCAUUCAAAUAUAUAGCAACAAAAAAUACAUUAUGGUUGCUGUCUACAUUAGAUUUGGUUUUCUAUAUUCUAGAAGUUGUUUAUUAACCAACUUGCCUCAGUAGUAAGAAUUUUAAAUGUCGUAUACAUGUUUAUUUAUUUUUCCUAUAGCAUGAAUAUUGUGCGAGUAAGGCAUUUACGAUCUCACUAUUAGUGAUUAUGUAUAUAAUCAUCCUAUCUCCACCACUUGGUUUAAAUCAGCUAAAAACUUGUCUUCAGCUCAACCCAUCCUCCACAACUGAAUGCCUUUAGCAUAACAGUGAUUACUUUUUGUUUUAUACUGAUUUGAGUAAUCUUUGCUUGGAUUUGCAGGCGUAGUUGGUUUCUUUUACGUAAUUUUCUUCAUCUUCUAACAAUCAAUUUACAUAAUAUAAAUGCUAUAAGAAGGUUUAUGAUAGAUAAGCAUGAUUUAAACAAAUCUCUGGAAUAAAAUAAGAAUAAAUAACGAAUAAUAAAUACCAGAACAAUACGUUCAGCACAAAUGAGUCGGUACUCAAGUAAAAAAAAAGAAUCCACUACGUUUACUACGUACUCCCUCCGUCCCUAUUUAUCUGUCCAUUUUGGAAGUAAAAAUUUGUCCCUAUUUAUCUGUCCAUUUAUACUUUCAAAACUAAUUUAAUGAUAGUUUUUCAAAUAUAUCUCCAUAAUUUCAAUUUUCAAGGCUGGUUUAAGGCUUUAAGCAUCGAAAAGACUCCAUAUUGGUCAGGCAGGCCCAAUAUGCAUGUAGUUUGAAUCUGUGGAAACAGCCUCAUCUUAUCAAUCCCUUACACGUCUUUCCCCCAUUUCUGCUUGGGUUGAUUGCUGUAUUUAUAUAUUUUAUUUAUUUGUCUUGUUUUUAUGAUUAUGGGUCGUGAUAUGCACGAUGCUCGGAUAUUAAAGAUUUUUGAGAUUGUAGCCCAAGUGUUUGAUACAAGUCCUCCAGAAUUAUUUUCAAUAAACAAUCACUUUGUUCUUAUAUUUUCUGUUAGUAGGUAGUUGAGAAUUUUUCCUGUUUUUUUAAUUAGCAAAAAAAAAAAAAAUUCGGUUUUUUAGAACGAGGUCAAUGUUUUGUUCAUUUCAUUUGCUUGUUUGAUGUGGAAUCUUGAAAAUUAUUCAGAUAAAAUUUCCCUUCUGAAAAAUUUCUAGACAUGUCCUCACCAUUCCUUAGUGUGGUUUUAGCUAUAUUUCAACGGAGGAUCUCCAAAAAAUAUGUAAUUUCACAUAAGAUGUAUUCCUGCAAAAUGUAGCCGUAUUUUCUUGUUAGUUCUUUUGGUUGAUGUGUCUGAUUGCUGAACUCAUACGGGCACUUAAUUGAUAUCUAGGUGGACCUUGUGUACCUGUAGUUUCUUCAUUCAAAUAUAUAGCAACAAAAAAUACAUUAUGGUUGCUGUCUACAUUAGAUUUGGUUUUCUAUAUUCUAGAAGUUGUUUAUUAACCAACUUGCCUCAGUAGUAAGAAUUUUAAAUGUCGUAUACAUGUUUAUUUAUUUUUCCUAUAGCAUGAAUAUUGUGCGAGUAAGGCAUUUACGAUCUCACUAUUAGUGAUUAUGUAUAUAAUCAUCCUAUCUCCACCACUUGGUUUAAAUCAGCUAAAAACUUGUCUUCAGCUCAACCCAUCCUCCACAACUGAAUGCCUUUAGCAUAACAGUGAUUACUUUUUGUUUUAUACUGAUUUGAGUAAUCUUUGCUUGGAUUUGCAGGCGUAGUUGGUUUCUUUUACGUAAUUUUCUUCAUCUUCUAACAAUCAAUUUACAUAAUAUAAAUGCUAUAAGAAGGUUUAUGAUAGAUAAGCAUGAUUUAAACAAAUCUCUGGAAUAAAAUAAGAAUAAAUAACGAAUAAUAAAUACCAGAACAAUACGUUCAGCACAAAUGAGUCGGUACUCAAGUAAAAAAAAAGAAUCCACUACGUUUACUACGUACUCCCUCCGUCCCUAUUUAUCUGUCCAUUUUGGAAGUAAAAAUUUGUCCCUAUUUAUCUGUCCAUUUAUACUUUCAAAACUAAUUUAAUGAUAGUUUUUCAAAUAUAUCUCCAUAAUUUCAAUUUUCAAGUCUUGACUUAUUUAAAACUUGGUUGAAUUCAUGUUUUCAAGACAUAAAGUAGGGGCAUUCCACCAUUUUCAAGAUAUUAAUUAGAGGUAUUUAAUGAAAAAGUUCAUGCAAUCAAUUAUUCCUUGGUAUGUGUUUUUUUCCCCAAAAUGGACAGAUAAAAAGGGACGGAAGGAGUACUAAUUAAGGAGGAAAAGGAAAGAGCGAGGGACAAACAACACAACGGAGGAACUUAACCUCAAGACUAGCAGAAUCAGAUAUCAGGUUGAUAGCCAUGGACCCUGAAGCGAUAUAUGCAUGUAUAAGAAGGGUUUCCAUAGUUGGAAGUGAAGUCGAGCCUUACUGUGUCGAUGACGCGAGAUGAGUCUGAUACAUCAAAAGUCUGAACACUGCUCUUCUCCAGGUCGUAGGUGAAAUUACCUAGAAAAUACAUACUCAAAUCACGAGUUAUUUUUUUCCUGCUGAACCAUCCAUAUACUCUGCAGUCCUUUGGAGCACUCGACCGGUUAUCAACAACACUCUGUCCAUAAGCAAUUAGAUGAACAUCAAUUAAGAAAAUUUACAGGCUUGGUAAGUGGAAAAUAAUUAUAAUACACAAGCGUAAUGAAGUUGAACCUAGCACUAUAUAAUAAUAAAGGCUCAUGUUAGAGAAAUCAUAAUAAUUAUAUAUUCGCCCCCUACAAAAGAUAAUGAUUCAUGAAAUAGUUCUAUAGUAGAGACCAAACAAAGUACACUAUAGCAGUACAAGUAGCAUGUGUAGGAUCGAUUGAUUACCUUGGCAACAUGUUCUAAAGUAACAGCCUGAGGAAUUAUGGCACUUCUGAGCUUGAUCUCUACAAAACCCCUGUUUCCUUUCAGACCAAAGCAUUCACCUGGCUGGCCAAAACUAGGUGUUAUCAUCCUCACUGGAUCAGCAAAAUAAUCAGCCUUCACCGAAUGUUUCCUGACAACAGCCCCGCCAGAUGCAUAAUCUUCCCUUCCAAGCAUGUUUUUCAAUCUCUUCCAUGACAAUAUCCCUCAUCAACACCCUCAUCUCAUUCAAAUCAACAUUCCCAUCGUUCCCUCCUUUCCUAUUGUUAUAAUCCUCACAAACCCUUUUAAAUUCCUCCCUCAUCACCACCCUCAUCUCAUUCAAAUCAACAUACCCAUCGUUCCCUCCUUUCCUAUUGUUAUAAUCCUCACAAACUUCUUCCUUUGACAACCCCUCAUUCUCACUAAAAUACUUGUCCAAACUCCCCAUUCGACCACUCAACAUAUUCGUUCUACUCCUCAACUCAAUCAAUUCUCUUUCCAUGUCUGAAGUCUUUGCUUCGAUAUUCGAAACCUUGCNUUUCCAUGUCUGAAGUCUUUGCUUCGAUAUUCGAAACCUUGCUAUCCAUGCGACUCAACAAAAAAACAAGUAGAAGAAAAAAACCUAAGUCUCUUGUCAACAGAAUGACCAGCUUUUGCCACCACCAUACGCUGUCAGCUUUAUGUCUUCGGCAGGGGAUUGACGUGGCUUCGAAACCGGGUUUUAUUGAUGUAUUCGGUUCUAUAUUUCCAUCUUUCUCUGCCAUGGAUGUUAGCACUAAAGGGUUUAACUACCAAAGCAAGCUAGAACAAGAAAAAAUAGCUAGAGAGCAAUUAUAACAGAUAAAAAAAAUACAGCUGCAUGCAAUAUUAUAUACUUUAUAUAAUAAGCGUAGGGGAGAUAAUUUGGUCGCGUCGCAUGGUCCAAAAGCUUAUCAUUGUAUAUUGAAUAAAUAGGUCCAAAAGCUUAUCAUUGUAUAUUGAAUAAAUAGGUCCAAAAGCUUAUCAUUGUAUAUUGAAUAAAUAAGUACCGUUAGAUUAGAAUAAAAUUAACUUCUAAUCAUAUAAGGCAGCUCCAAAAGAUUAUCAUCUGUUAUAUCAUAUAUUGAACAACUAAGUACCGUUACAUUAGAACAAAAUUAACUUCUAAUUCUAUAAGGCAACUGAUAUCUACUUGUAUGUUUAUAAUUCUUUUUCUGAAUCCAAAAUAAAUCCUGUCUUUCACAUUUUUAUGAUUUUUUUAAUCUAAAAUAAAUAUUUCCUAACAGUUUUAAUUGUACAAUCAUAUAAAUCACACCGUCACAAAAAUAUUUUAAUCUAGUAUAUUUUAAAAUUAAUAAGCCAGAUAUUUUAAUCCAAAAUAAAUAUUAAGGGAGAAAAUUCGGUCGCAUGAUCACAUGGUCCAAAAGCUUAUCACCCGUUGGAUGGAUCGUAUAUUGAACAAAUAAUUACCGUUAGAUUAGAACAAAAUUAACUUCUAAUUAUAUAAGGCAACUUAUAUCUACUUGCAUGUUUAUAAUUUUUUUUGUGAAUCCAAAACAAAUUAUGUCUUUCACACGUUUAUGAUUUUUGUAAUUCAAAAUAAAUAUUUCCCACCAGUUUUAAUUGUAGAAUCAUAUAAAUCGCAUCGUCACAAAAUUAUUUUUAUCUAAUAUAUUUUAAAAUUAAUAAGCUGGAUAUUUUAAUCCAAAAUAAAUAUUCCCCACCAGUUUUAAUUGUAGAAUCAUAUAAAUCGCACUGUCACAAAAUUAUUUUUCUCUAAUAUAUUUUAAAAUUAGUAAGCCAAAUUUAAAUCAUAUUAUAAUAAUCUAAUAUAAAAUACAUUUAUAAAUAUAAUCUAAUGGAAGUUAACGUCACAUAUUCUACUCAAUAUAUAUUAAAAUUUGAUAGAAAAAUUUAAUACUAUGGCAUGAUACAUAAGAGAAAAAGAAUGACUUGAUUACAAUAGUUUAUUUUAAAGCCUCGGAUGAUCCAACAUGUGUAACCACUGUUUUUGUUUUUUUGACAGAAACAAGUCUAGCUAUAUAUUUUUACAAUAAUUCUGACUUACAAACAAAUCAUAAUUUCAAAUUUUGUUUAAUUAAAAAUUUUAAUUUAUUAUUUAUAUAAAUUCUUUCACUUCACUUACAAUAUAUUUAAAAAAAUUAUAAAUAAUUAAAAAACUCUAAUGCCCUNCACCCGGACGCUGUUGAAAGCCUUUUGCAACAAGGCGCGCCUUAUAUUUAUUAACAGACCCAUCUGGAUUUCUUUUAAUCCGAAAAACCCACUUACACGCUAUUGUUGGCUGAUUUGAUUUUGGCACCAAGUCCCAAGUGCCAUUUUUAGUGAGAGCAUCAAAUUCAAGGGACAUUGCUUCGCGCCAGUGAAGAUCCUUUAAAGCUUGUGAUACUGAUUUAGGCUCUAAUGAAGGAGAAAUGGGAUGAAGGGUGGUAUGAUUUAUGAAUUGUGAGUUAAAGUAUUUUGGAUUGGGACGUCUAGAACGAGGUUCCGGCAGUAGAUUGGGAGAGGGUGAAGGUGGAUGAGAUACUGAAGUAGACUCAAUUUGUGAUGAAGCCGAGGGAGGUGAAGAUACAACNCCCCUUUUACAUGUUCAUGUUUGAUUUUUGACCAGUCAAAUUACUAUAUUUUGACUGAAAUUUUACAAAUAUCAUAUAAUUCAAAAAAUAAUAAAAAUAAUAUCAUCAGAAAGUAUAUUUAGCGUAUUUUAAUAUGCAACUUUCAGAUUUCAAAAAUAAUGAAGAGAUAAUUUGUAAUGUUUAGUCAAAAUUUGGUCAAUUUGACUGAUCAAAUCAAAUGGAGACAUGUAAAAGAGGACGGAGGGAGUAAUAUAUAAAGAGUCUAUUAGAUUCAAAAUCUGUGAAUUGGAUUCGGAUAUCAGUUUUGAAUUUUUUUUAACUCAGAAAGUAUAUUUAGCGUAUUUUAAUAUGCAACUUUCAGAUUUCAAUAAUAAUGAAGAGAUAAUUUGUAAUAUUUAGUCAAAAUUUGGUCAAUUUGACUGGUCAAAUCAAAUGGAGACAUGUAAAAGAGGACGGAGGGAGUAAUAUAUAAAGAGUCUAUUAGAUUCAAAAUCUGUGAAUUGGAUUCGGAUAUCAGUUUUGAAUUUUUUUUAACUUUGGAUUUUUGUGAUAUUGAAUUUGAAUCUGAAAUUUGACAAACCUGGUCCCAUCCGAUUACUAUAUAUAUAGACCUAGAUCUAAAUAAAUAAAAUUUGGUGUUUUAAUUACAAAUAAUCCUAUUCAACAAAGAACAUGUUUUACAAUGUUUAAUUUUUUUACAAUGUUAUUUUCUAUUUAAGUUUUUUUAUCCAAAUAUAUAUUAUUUCAAAAAUAUAUUUAAUUGCGACUUCAAUUAACCAAUUACAAAAUAAUAAAAACUUACUGCAACCUAAAUUAUCAAAUUGGUAUACUAUCAAAAUUAUUGUUUUCUUAGUAUCUUAAGCCCAAUGUAAUUUAAGCAUCGAAAAGGCUCUUGUUGGUCAGUCCAUUCAAGAAACAUUGCAGGCCCAAUAUGCAUGUAGUUUGUAUAAACGUACUCUUUACUCUUUAGUCUUUACUAGUGCUACUGUGCUGGAAUUGUAAAAUCCUCGUCAAUUCCUUGCAGGUCUUUUCCCCAUGUCUGCUUGAUUGCGGUAUUUAUAUAUUUUAUUUAGUUGUCUUGUAAGGUGAUAAUGGGUCGUGAAAUGUAUGAUGCUAAGAUUAUAUAGAUUUUUGAGAAUGGAGGCCAACUGUUUGAUACAAGUCCCCUGAAAUUAUUUUCAAUAAGCAAUCACUUUGUUUUAUAUUUUUUGUUAGUAGGUAGUUGAGAAUUUUUCCGGUUCUUUAGAACGAGGUCAAUGUUUUGUUCAUUUUCAUUUGCUUGUUUGAUCUGGAAUAUAAGACAUCUUGAAAAUUAUUUAGAUUCCUUGAAAAACAUCCCCUGAACUCAUAUGGGCACUUAAGUGAUAUCUAGGUGGACCUUGUGUACCUGUAAUUACUUCAUUCGAAUAUAUAGCAACAAAAAAUACAUUAUCGCUGCUGUCUACAUUGGAUUUGGUUUUGUAUGUUCUAGAAAUUGUUUAUCCAACCAACCUUUCUCAGUAUAUAUAUGUUUAUUUUUUUCCUAAGCAUGAAUAUUGUGUGAGUAAGGCAUUUACAAUCUCAGCUAAAAACUUGUCUUCAGCUCAACCCUUCCUCCGCAACUGAAGGCCUUUAGCAGAACAGUAAUUACUUUUUGUUUUAUACUGAUUUGUGGGAUCUUUGAUUGGGUUUGCAGGCGUAGUUGGUAACUUCUAAAAGGGAGUGAAAUGGCUCUAGGGCUAAUUUUAGGGAUUGGACGUGCAUUCAGAAGAAAGCGUGCCUCUUCCCUUGACAUUCUUACUUCUAAACGAGGUCCACGGGAUUACUACAAGGGAAAGAACUGCAAACCUACUGGUUUCCACACUCGAAAAGGUUCCACUUUUUCAUUUUUUUCUUACUUUCAUUUGUUGUAUUACUAAUAAUAAUCUUGGCCGAUCUAUGUGCACAUGUGUGAGAGAAAUCAGAAAUGAGUUGUCAUCUUUCCUAGUUUUUUUUAUAGGCAGCCAUUAGUAUCAUUGAUAUAAUAAAACAUUACAUAUGCAUGCUUGCAUCGACAUAGGUAUAAUUUUAUACUGCCUGACUGCAAAGUUUUAAAAGGAAAGGACAUGUAAAUCAAACAGAACAACAGCACUGGGAUCGAGGGAUCUGGGAUCUUUCCUAGUUGAUGGACGAUGCUAUUUCUAAAAUUGCAAAAGCAUUGUGUUACUGCAGUCCGAAGCCCAAAUGAAUGCAGAGACUGCUAUGCUUUUUGAUUUCAAACUUAUAUAUAAAUUCAUUUGAAGCCGGUUUAUUUGUCAUAGGUUUCUAUUGCGGAUUCAAAGGAAUCCGUAUUCACUACGCCAAUUGGUGUUUAUAGUAUUUGAUCAUUGCUGCAAAAACUCAUGCUAACUGCUUUGAAUUGAAAAUUACUAUUGACAGCCAUGAGUGGUUGCUUAUAAUUUUGCUGUGUUGCUGAGCUACCAAAUUAUAUAAAAGAAAUAAUUUGAUAACUACUGAAGCAAUGCUAUUGACGAACUUAAAAAAAGUGGAACAGGGAGAGAUAAAGAUAGCAUGCAAAUAAUCCUGUAAUUUUAAUUUGACUACAAGUUACAAGUGAUGAGGCUCUACAAUAAACAACCAUAUAAGUAACUGGAUUAGUGAUUAAAAUGCUGACUAAACAUUUAGCAAAUUAACAAGUAUCCAGGGGGUAUGGGAUAAGUGUAAUACUGAUAUUUAUCCUAGUUCAUCACAAAAUUCUUUUUAUCGGUUAGGCUGAGACUAUUGUGUAUAGAUAAACCAGCUAGACAGGUUUUGUUGGAUGUGGUUAAGGUUGUCCUGCAUCAGUUGCCGUCUAGUAUUUAAGAACUAGAAACCAUGAAUUUGUAUGGGGAAUUGUUCUUAGACUUUUCAGGUAGGUGCAUCAGGCUGUCAAUAAUAAUGUGUUUAAGCUUAUAAUAGGUUUUUUUCCCGAGGGGAAUACUGUAUAACUGUUGGAGUCUUUGAUGUCCAUAUGUAAAAUUUAUGGUUACAUAUUGGAAUAAGCAGAUUGAAGGUGUCACAUUAUCCCUGAUGAUGCUGAAUGUGUCGCAUUUCCACACAAAAUAGACGAGGGAGUACCAAUAUGUAUAAGACUUGCGCUUAGCUUCUGGUUGGUAAUAAGACGUUUAGGCAAUGGUAGAUGAAAUAUCAACCUUGAUGAUGGGUGUGAAUGUGUGUAUCUAUUGUAAUUGAGAAAAUGCUAUAGACGUGCACCAUGGAAAAUUCCGAUGUCUUAUAAACCAAAUGAAACUUACCAGCUGCAUAAGUGAAAACAUAUAAUUUUUUGAAGCAUACUAAUGUUGAACAUAAUGGAUGUGAUAUUACAUACAUGGUAAUGAUGGUAUCAUCCAUGCUCCAUGCUCCUGUAAUGCAUGUUUUUUUUCCCCUAAAUGUAUGUGUAUUUAUAAUUGCAUAUGUAUCUGUGUAUUUACUUCCGCAUCGUCCCUUAAAUGUUUGUUCUCUUGCUGCAGGAGGAUAUGUGGUGGUGCAAGAAAAGUUGCCAAAUUAUGUCGUCCCAGAUUUGACCGACUUUAAGGUAAAUACAUUUCAUUUAAGAACUAAUGUUCCUAACUAAUAAUACUACCUCUUUUGCUUGGAACAUAAGCUUGCAGUCCUCAGCAGGCUUGUUAUUAUCGCAUGUAGUUAAUAGUUAUAGAACAGCAACAUCGAUAGGCAGGUUAAACAACCACAAAUGUUUUUAAUUAGUGUCCUGUGGUGUGUGCAUGGAUUUGCUGCAUCCGCAUGUGAGAUUUUUUAUUUUUUAUCAAGGUGAAGAAAGCAAAGGCUGCAGAUUGUCUGUGUUUGCAAGCAGCGUUUGGCCCUGUAAUUUGAUGUAAUUUUUAAGUAGCUUAAGCUUGGCGAAUUUCAAAUCGUAUUGAAAUUUAAUAAUGCAUGUAUAUUUCUGUUGCAGUUGAAGCCAUAUGUAUCACAGUGCGCAGUGCAAGGCCAAACCAGUGGAGCAGCUGAUGCAGCUAAAUAAACAUGACCUCGAAUUUUAGUGGAGCAGAUGAUGAGUUAUUGUUCUUUUUCUUGGCUACUUUUGGAUUCCUUUAAGUGUAAUGUUGCAAAUCGUUCAAACAAAAAAGCUGUGAAAUCUAUAUACUUCUUAAACGGGUUAAUACUCUAUUUCAUCACUCUACUGCACCAAAAUUUUCGGUUGGCCUACCGAGUCAAAGAAGUUUUCAGUCAACUAAUUGUACCAUUAAAAAAAUUUCAAAUAGGUCACUCCAUCAGUCUCCGUUAAGUUUUUAACUAGGAGUGGCAAUCGUUUUGUUUCGUAUACUUUCGUUUCGUGUAUUUUCGUGUUUCGUGUAAUCGAAGGUGAAACCCGUAUCCGUCCGUUAUUAAUUUCGUGUACCUAAUUUGAAACCCGUAUCCGUUUCGAAUUGUUUCGUGUAUAUUUCGUGUAUAUUAUAUAUAAAAAUAUUAAUACGUGUAUAUUUCGUGUAUAUUAUAUAUAAAAAUAUUAAUAUAUUUUUUAAUCAAAAAAUGGAUUUAAUAUAUAUUUUCCUUUAUAAAUUUAUUAAAUGUGAAUGAUAUAUAUUAUACUUGUAUACAAUUCUUUAUAAAUUUGUUAAUGUAUCUACAAUAUAUAUCCACACAUACAUAUAAAUAUAUACUUUAUACUCAAUUAUAUAUUUAAUAUAUCAUUACAUAUAUAUAAUAAAUAUAAUCUACAAAAAAAAUAUAAAUAUAAUCUACAAAUAUUUCGUGUAAUUUCGUGUAUUUCAUGUACUCCAAAUGAAAACCCAUAUCCGACACGAAAUCUAUCGUGUAAUUUCGUGUUCGUGUACUUUCGUGUUUCGUGUAUCGAAAAUCAGAACCCGUAUCCAUUUUUUUCAUGUCGUUUCGUUUCGUGUUAGCGUGUUACGUGUCAAAUUGCCAGGCCUAUUUUUAACAGAUUAAUGUUCUAUUACAUCACUGUACUCGAUCAAAACUUUCAGUAGACCUACCGAGUAAAUGACAACUUUACAAGUAAUCAGGAGAAAGAUGGUUUUUUUAUGAGCUUGCCAACAUCUGGACUGCAUUCAUCUCAUCGGUAUUCGGUGCAUAUCAGGUGAUAACCAGUUAUUAUCAAGAAUCAAGAUAUUAAUGAUCUAUGCCAAGGCUGAUUGCCACCAACUCCAUGAUGCCAAGCGAAAGUCUGGUCAUCACGUGUAGUGAUCUUGGUAAAUUUUCCGAAUUAAAUUGACAAGCAUGCAAGAGAUAGAUUAGUACAGGAGACCAUGGCAACCAGCUACUCAUGUUAUUAUAAAGAAUUCUUCCACCGCAGCUUGGAAGAAAACAUUCCUGUGAAACUACUGGCAUACCCACAAUGUUCGCCCAACUUUCUUUGAGCCUUUUGUUUUUCGAUGUGGGGAAGCUCGAAAAACAAGUCCAUAAACAAGUCCCACGAGUUUUGAAGCUUUCUCAGCUUCAACAGGAUUACCAGAGAGAAAACCUCCCAAGUCGAUGAGAGGUACACCGAGUUGUGGAGUAUGUGAGCUUGGUUUUUCAUGAUCAGGCCAUGUAUCAAGCCAAAAGCAUGCAAUUUUGUUAAACUCAGUUAAAAUUAACAUUUUCCGUUAAAAUCAAAGCCAUACUUAACGGCGCUGAAAUAUUUUUAUACUUAAUCUCGUGAUUGAAAGUUUUCACAUGCAUUAUUAUUUGAAUGAAAACUUUUUUGACCAGGUAGGUCAAUUGAAAGUUUUGGUUCAGUACACCAAAUAGAGCAUUAACCCUUAUACCCCUUCUUAAACUCAAAGAACCCAGCAACGAUUCAACAAACAUACAAAAAAUGGGACCCCAAGUCGAUGACUCUGCUACAAAACACGAACAGGAGCUCGGAACUAACCCACAACUCGGUUAACACGCCGCAACUCAGCGAAAAUAGAACUCAAGAAAUGCCUGUCCACAUCCUCCUCCAGAUCCAAGAAUUCCAACUCCUCUUUGUCAUCUAGCAACAUAUAUGUAUGCCCUUGUCCAUACUUAUCACCACAUUUAUGCUAUAAAUGGUUAUUCUUCCUCUAUUGAAAUUCCUUUGGAUAGAUUUUCUUGAACAACCACAAGUAUUUACUCCCUUCUGUAUCCCCUUUCUUAGUAUCUAACUCGGAACAACAAACAAACUCGGCUGACAGAAAAAACGCCCACCUCGGACAAACCAAAACUAAAAAAAACUAAAAAUAUAUGUUUACUGUUAAUCCAAUUCCCAGAUUUUCACCCCUUUCUGUGUUCAUUCCUUUAUUAUAUAGCGGAUUGCACGUGACUGCUUUUUGGACUAAAUUCUUUCUGGGCUGCUUCCUAUAUAGGCUGAGGCCCAACAAUCUACUACCAGACUUCUGAACGAAUCAUAUACAGUUAUUGUAAUUACUAAAACGUGAAAUGAAUUCUAAGCAACUAAAAACUCGAAUGCAACUUAUACUAGAAUAUUUUUUUUAAUUAUUUAAUAAUUAUAUUCAUAGAAUGAUUAUUUUUAAUUUUAACCUUAUACAGUAUUAGUUUAUAUUUGAUCAGCUCCAUCUAUAUAAAAUGAGCUCAUCCGAGAGCACAAAGGUAUGUAACACCAAGAGUAUGUACCGCACAAAUCAAACAGUUCAUCCGCGCGAAAUGUGAAAGGGUCUGGCUUGCCUCGCAAGGCUAACAAUAAUAUUCAAUGUGGUUCAUGCCUACAGCCUAUACCUUGAGCUGGAUAUCACUCAGUAACGCAAAUUUGGUUAUUCCCUCCGUAGUCCGUCCCCGCGAUAGUACAUAUGGGAGAGAGGACGUGGAUUUUGAUGUUUCUGUAAAAUAUAAUCUGGUAAUAUUUAAUUUUUAAUUUUUUUACUGAAUAAAAAUUUAGAUAUUAUAUUUUUAUUCAGGAAAAUAAAAUCUAAAAAAUAAGUUAUGGAACUAUUUUUAUAAGAGCAUUAAAAUGCGUGUCGGUUGAAAAAAAAACCCGUAUAGAAUCAAAUGGAACAGAAGGAGUUUUUCUUUUUUAAAAAUAAAUCACUUAAUUUAUAAUAUAUAUAUAUAUAUAUAAUAUUUUUCUGAAAACAAAUGCCUUAUUUUAUAAAUAAUAUAUAUAGGGACCGUUUAAAACAAGUGCUUAUUAAGUAAAAAAGUGAAAUAGAAGUUACAAACAAGUUACUUGUAAGUGACUUUAAGAGAAAAGUUAGCAUUUGUAACUUAUAAAAGAUAAGUCUGUUUUUUUACACAAACAAGUCAAGAAAAACAGAAGCCAACUUCUUUGGAAAAGAAGUACUUAUAAUGGGUUGCGAAACAGGCACAUAAUAAUUAAUAUCAAAAGGAGUUAAUUACACUUUGUAAAACCUAGAUUUGCUCCAAACGCAGUUUAGUACCUGAACUUUAAAACGUGACAAUAUGCACCCUACACUUAACAUUUACGUGCCACGUUUUAAAGUUCAAGUACUAAAAUGCGUUUGGAGCAAAUCUAGAUGUUAGAAAGUGUAAUUAACUUUAUCAAAAUUCAAAAAUCAUUAUUUAAAUGUGAUUUUUUUUUUCCGGAAUAGAUGCUUAUUGUCAUAAAUAAAUAAAAGGAAAAUUAACGAAGCAGUUAGGUUAGAAAAGUAGCCGAACAGGGAACAAUUUCACUCGGGAAAAAAUAUUCCACAAGCCACAGCCCACACAACACCAGCAUAUGCUCGAUCAUUAAAACCAAAGACACCUAACAGCAGGUGCAACAAAUAUGUUAUAAAUAGCGGAACAUAACAGGGGGAGUGGGGACAAAGCAGUAUCCAAAGUAGUAAAAUAUAAAUUCUGGUUUAACCAUAUAUAAAACGAAUUAAGAAUGGAAAAAAUAACUAGUAAGCCGUACAGCAGACCAAUCAAAAUUAGACAACACUUUUGAAUGAUACCGUCCUGCUAUUUCAUUGCCUCAAAUCUCACCUCCCUUCCUAUAUAUUCCAUCUUUCCUUUUAUAGAUUUCACUCUUUGUCUAUCUAGCUUGUAGCUUCCCCUCAUCCAUCUAUAUAUAUCUUUCUUCUUCACAAGCUAUAGCAUAAGAGAGAAGAAUCUUCAAGAAUGGGCAGGGGCAAAGUACAGUUGAAGAGGAUAGAGAACAAGAUAAACAGACAAGUUACUUUCUCAAAGAGAAGAUCUGGUUUACUCAAAAAAGCCCAUGAAAUCUCUGUUCUUUGUGAUGCUGAGGUUGCUCUCAUUGUUUUCUCUACCAAAGGCAAACUUUCUGAAUUUUCCACGGAUUCUUGGUAUGUUUUCCACACAUCUCUUUAUUUUUUCAUUUCUAAUGACAAUUUUAUGAUGUCUACCUUAAGUCAUUUGGUCAGGUUUUUGUUGGUGCAGUUAAUUGUUGUUGUACUGUAUAGAUCUUUGGCAUUUGGCAAGAGAAUGAUACCAAUAAUGAUACAAUCACGAAAGGUUUGGAUGUUAUAAGAUACUCCCUCCGUCCUAAUCAAUUCUAUACAUUUUCCUUUUUGGGACGUCCUAUCAUUUCUAUACAUUCCAAAUAUAGUAACUUUUAAUAAUAUAAAACACUAUUACACCCACUUCUUUCUUCCACUAUCUCCAUUCUAUAAUAAUAUAAAUACUAUUACACUCACUAUUUUCUUCCACUAUCUCAAAUCUAUUAUUAAAUAUAAACGGGUCCCACCACUUUACUCACUUUUCAUCUCACUUUACUCAUUUUUUACACUUUUUCUUGGUCUCCGUGUCCAAACCGAAUGUAUACAAUCUAUCGGCCCAGAGGGAAUACUAGCUAAAACCUCCCAAAAUAGAAAUAAUAAAAUCACAACCUAGGAAGUACUUCUUUCCUUCUCACUAUUUGUUUACAAAUAUGUUCGGAACGGAGAUAAAAAAAAAUGUAGAAAAUAGUAUGAAAGAGUAAAAAAAUGAUAAGACUUACUGAUAUCUAAUGUAUAAAAUGAGUAGUUAAUUUUUAUAUUAUAAAAUUUUAAAAAAAAUCAAGCUGUAAAAAUUGGAAGAGAAAUCUCAAAAAGAAAAAUUAAAAAAAAAACGAUCGAGAACAAGAGAGUAAAAGAUAUGUGUUGUCAUAUUUGUUGUUGGGAUACUUUGCAGUACUAUAGUUGCAGUACUUGGAUAAUCAUUUCAUGCAUAAAUUGCCUUUUUUAAUGUGUUUUUUAAAUGGUUUUUCUGAUAUCCUUUUUGACAAAUGACUGGCCUCUUUUUUCAACAAUACUCAUGUCUCCUCUUUUACUCUUGAAACUAUGCUUUGCAGCACCGCUUAUGAUACCUGUAUAAUAAUCAUUUUAUGCAUAGUCAAUGGGGCCGUUUGGGUGAAUUUAAAAUAAGUGCUUCUUGCUUAAAAUAAAUAAGUAGAUUAGAAGUUAGAAUCAAUAUAAGACUUAUAAGUGAUUAAAGUGUUUGGGAAAUAAGUAGAAAUCCUGAAACAAAAGCUAGCAUUCCUAACUUUUUAUAAGUGCUUCUUGACUUAUUACACAAACGAUACGAAUACGUACUACUAACUUAUAAUCCCAUAAGCUCGACUUAUAAGUGACACACAAACACCCACAAAAAAUGUCUUAUAGAGUUGUAGGACCAGUAGCUUUUACAAUACUUGUACAAUUAUAAGUGAAUGCUUUGCAGUUUUUUCUUUGUUUAUCUGUGUUUCUAAGUGCAGCUAUCAAAGGUCCAGCUAUGGCAUGUACUGAACAAACUAAUAUAUUCAGGUUGUGUCAUUAUUUUAUAUAGAGAGGGUACGUAUGGUCACUUUACUUCAAUCCCGCAAUUGCUCUAGCUUUACACAGUUGCACUAAUCGGUUUACUAUAGUACUGAGGGUCAGUUUACAUGCAGUACGUCCAGUGACUAAACAUGUGAAUACUGAGUUUUUUUUUUUUUUUAAAUAACAGUCUUUCUGAUUCGUUUACAAGGAGUUGACCAAGGAGAUCGAAAAAAUGUACUGUAUAAAUGUGAGAAAGAAAAAGAAAGUUUUUAAUAUUUAAAUAAAAUAGUCCUCUCUUGUUUUACUAAUUAUGCAAUACUUCAAAGAAGUUGCAUAAAAUAACUUCACAAUUAGACUCUACUUACCUUUCAAAGGUUUGAAAUAAAGUUAAUUAUAAUUUUACAAAUUUGAAAUAAAAUAAAUAAUUAAUAAUGACUGUAUAUAAAUUUUAAGCAAAUUUAGUUAUAAUUAUAAGGUUUUAAAAUAAUAUAGUAUACUAACACAUGAUUCAUGAGAAUUUCAAAAUUAAUAAUACUCCCUCCGUCUCCCUUAUUUGUUUACAUUGGGGGACGGGAGCUCGACACGCAUUCGAAUACUCUCGUAAAACGUAGCUUGAUAAAUUAUUUUGAACUUUUUUAUCUCCUGAAUAAAAAUUUGGUGUUUUUAUUUUUAUACAAAAAUGAAAAAAAAUUAAAAAUAUCUUAUAGAACUAUGUUUUAUAUGCGUCUUAAAAUGCGUGUCGAGUAGUGUGGAAAAACCUGUAAAGAAAUGAGAGGGACAGAAGAAAGUAUAUAUUUAUGUGAUAAACGUUAAAAAAUUAUUUUAAUAUUCUCUAUAUCUUAAUACCGACCGGAAGAAGCUAUUCUCGUGUAAUCUGAUAGCAUAAUUUGAAUCAUUUGGUCACCGCUUGCUCCCGUUCUCUAUUUUUAGAGCAUCUUACCAAAAAUGAUAUACUAAAUUAUAUAAAAAUAAAAUUGGUAAAAAUAAAAAUAUUUUAAGUUGGUCAAAUAUAACCGAUUAAUAUAUUUUUAUGUCAUGCAAAUUAUUUUACAUGUUAUCUAUAUCUUCUAUUUAUAGCAGACUUUGAUAAUCAGUCUAGGCGCUCUUUUGUUGUACUACUGUAGAAUACCCUAGUAACAGUAAGCCGGGAAUGAGGGUAGAAUAAAAUAAAAUAAAAAAUUAUAUAAAAUUUUUAUGGACAAAGAAGAAAAUAGGAGAUAAUAGUGACAACUGACAAUAUAUGAAUUAAUGUAUUUAAAUUUCUUAUGAUAAAGAUUGUAAGGUAACAUGUAGAAAUGGAAUGAGCAUUUUCUGGUUAGGCUUAUAGUUAAAGUAGUAGGAAUGGAAUAAUUGAAGGAUGAAUCAAUACUGUUUUACCGCCAUCCAUUUUAGAGCACAAAAUUCAUUCUAUUAUUAAACGAACAUAACCUAACCUAAGGGUCAUUGUUUGUGGUAGGGUUUUGCAUAACCUGGUUAGGUUUCGCCUGCUACGUCAUUUUUUCACGCAAUAGGCUUUAUUAGGUUACAUGUUGGAAACUAGGGUUCGAGAGACAAGAAAUGUAGGCUACAGACAGAAACUAAAAACGUGAUACUGUAUAUAUAGAUACAUUCAGUGCUACUACUACACUACUCUAAGUUACUGCUGGAAGAUUUCUGCAAUCCAUUGAGGAUUAACCAAUAUAUAUAUUUUAUAUAACGAAAAUAUUAUCGAAUGAUAUUUAAAAUAUUGAUAUAUAGUACAUACUAUUUAUUUUUUACUAAAAUUUACUUUCAACCAUCAAGUAAUACCAAUUUAUUAACUAUAACAGAGUUUUACCAAAAUUAUUACUCAUUUUUUCAGUCAAUCUAGGGCGAAAAUUAGUCAUAUAUAUGUAAUAUUUGUAGUGAUGCUUUAUUAAUUAUUUUUAGCAGAUACGUUUUAUUUCUUGAAAUUUUUUAGGUAUUAUGUUAUAUAAACUAUAAUCUUUUUGACUCCAACAACGGGAAGUUACCUUGCUAAGCUUAUUGGGGUCGGAGUGGGUCACUACUCAGUUUAGCGCCAGGUCUGAUUUUCAAUUACGAGAAAUGAUCGAUAAUUUUAAUUGGACUGGGGAAGGUUUUUUCGGACUCACUAUAACAUAAUAUUUAAUUAACAUUUCAAUGAAUUAGAAAUUUGGGGGUUAAAGAAUUCAAAUCCGCUCGAGUAAUACAUAUUGAUUCUUAUAAAAUCUUUCAGUGAUAGAUAUGAGCUCAAUGAUAUUUAUUUUAUAUUUUUGACAUAUGAUACUCUCAUAUUAUAUAUAAAAAAAUAGAUAUGAUUUGUGACUUUAAAACAAAUUAUAUAUUUGAGAUCUUUCAGAAUAAAUUCAUGAAAUUUACUUUUGAAUCAUGUAACCGGAUUUAAUAUAAAUGAGCUAUUUAAACUUCACAACAGAACUUUGAUUGUAUAUAUCACUCAUUUUGACUCCUAUUUACAUGAUUUAAGAGUCUAAUAUAUAUAUAUAUAUAUAUAUAUAUAUAUAUAUAUAUAUAUAUAUAUAUAUAUAUAUANNNNNNNNNNNNNNNNNNNNNNNNNNNNNNNNNNNNNNNNNNNNNNNNNNNNNNNNNNNNNNNNNNNNNNNNNNNNNNNNNNNNNNNNNNNNNNNNNNNNNNNNNNNNNNNNNNNNNNNNNNNNNNNNNNNNNNNNNNNNNNNNNNNNNNNNNNNNNNNNNNNNNNNNNNNNNNNNNNNNNNNNNNNNNNNNNNNNNNNNNNNNNNNNNNNNNNNNNNNNNNNNNNNNNNNNNNNNNNNNNNNNNNNNNNNNNNNNNNNNNNNNNNNNNNNNNNNNNNNNNNNNNNNNNNNNNNNNNNNNNNNNNNNNNNNNNNNNNNNNNNNNNNNNNNNNNNNNNNNNNNNNNNNNNNNNNNNNNNNNNNNNNNNNNNNNNNNNNNNNNNNNNNNNNNNNNNNNNNNNNNNNNNNNNNNNNNNNNNNNNNNNNNNNNNNNNNNNNNNNNNNNNNNNNNNNNNNNNNNNNNNNNNNNNNNNNNNNNNNNNNNNNNNNNNNNNNNNNNNNNNNNNNNNNNNNNNNNNNNNNNNNNNNNNNNNNNNNNNNNNNNNNNNNNNNNNNNNNNNNNNNNNNNNNNNNNNNNNNNNNNNNNNNNNNNNNNNNNNNNNNNNNNNNNNNNNNNNNNNNNNNNNNNNNNNNNNNNNNNNNNNNNNNNNNNNNNNNNNNNNNNNNNNNNNNNNNNNNNNNNNNNNNNNNNNNNNNNNNNNNNNNNNNNNNNNNNNNNNNNNNNNNNNNNNNNNNNNNNNNNNNNNNNNNNNNNNNNNNNNNNNNNNNNNNNNNNNNNNNNNNNNNNNNNNNNNNNNNNNNNNNNNNNNNNNNNNNNNNNNNNNNNNNNNNNNNNNNNNNNNNNNNNNNNNNNNNNNNNNNNNNNNNNNNNNNNNNNNNNNNNNNNNNNNNNNNNNNNNNNNNNNNNNNNNNNNNNNNNNNNNNNNNNNNNNNNNNNNNNNNNNNNNNNNNNNNNNNNNNNNNNNNNNNNNNNNNNNNNNNNNNNNNNNNNNNNNNNNNNNNNNNNNNNNNNNNNNNNNNNNNNNNNNNNNNNNNNNNNNNNNNNNNNNNNNNNNNNNNNNNNNNNNNNNNNNNNNNNNNNNNNNNNNNNNNNNNNNNNNNNNNNNNNNNNNNNNNNNNNNNNNNNNNNNNNNNNNNNNNNNNNNNNNNNNNNNNNNNNNNNNNNNNNNNNNNNNNNNNNNNNNNNNNNNNNNNNNNNNNNNNNNNNNNNNNNNNNNNNNNNNNNNNNNNNNNNNNNNNNNNNNNNNNNNNNNNNNNNNNNNNNNNNNNNNNNNNNNNNNNNNNNNNNNNNNNNNNNNNNNNNNNNNNNNNNNNNNNNNNNNNNNNNNNNNNNNNNNNNNNNNNNNNNNNNNNNNNNNNNNNNNNNNNNNNNNNNNNNNNNNNNNNNNNNNNNNNNNNNNNNNNNNNNNNNNNNNNNNNNNNNNNNNNNNNNNNNNNNNNNNNNNNNNNNNNNNNNNNNNNNNNNNNNNNNNNNNNNNNNNNNNNNNNNNNNNNNNNNNNNNNNNNNNNNNNNNNNNNNNNNNNNNNNNNNNNNNNNNNNNNNNNNNNNNNNNNNNNNNNNNNNNNNNNNNNNNNNNNNNNNNNNNNNNNNNNNNNNNNNNNNNNNNNNNNNNNNNNNNNNNNNNNNNNNNNNNNNNNNNNNNNNNNNNNNNNNNNNNNNNNNNNNNNNNNNNNNNNNNNNNNNNNNNNNNNNNNNNNNNNNNNNNNNNNNNNNNNNNNNNNNNNNNNNNNNNNNNNNNNNNNNNNNNNNNNNNNNNNNNNNNNNNNNNNNNNNNNNNNNNNNNNNNNNNNNNNNNNNNNNNNNNNNNNNNNNNNUAUUUAUACAUAUUUAUAUAUAUAUAUAUAUAUAUAUAUAUAUAUAUAUAUAUUUACAAAAAUUUGAAAUAUACAGCUUCUUUUAUAGUCUCAAAUCAAAUUUAAUACAUUUUAAUAACAUAAGGGUGCUAUAUGUAAAAAGUCAAAUAUACAGGAUUAACACAAAUAAAAGCAAAAGAUAUGAUCAUACCAUCACCAAAAAUCAAUGGUAUAAUGGUAUCAUAGAGAAUAUCCUCAAUAUUAAUAUUCUUUGACAACCACCCACCGGCCAACACUACUACCAUCACCAUCAACACCCCAACCCAUGCGCCCCAACCCACUCCAAACACACCUACACCGUCCCCCCUUCCUCUUUCUUCCCUGUGCUCUACUGUCACCGCAUCCAUUCCACACUCAUCACCACUAUUGCCCAACUACUGCAGUCAGUAUUAUCUGACCCAUUCCAGCCCAACCCAUAUCUCCCACUCUUCACUCUGCCCUUCUUGUCACUUCCCUCUUCACUCCCUUCCUCUUUCUUCUUUGGUGAUCUCUUUUUUGCCCUCUUGUUGCAGUAAAAUGACAAAAUCUGGUGAUGACCGGAAUCGAUGAUAUUGGUUAGAAUGAGAAAUAACGGUGGUAUUUAGAGGUUGAUACACACACACAUAUAUAUAUAUAUAUAUGGUCUUACUCCAAAUCAAACUUUCUUAAAAUACAAACUAUAAACUAAAAUAAAAUAUUACAAAUUUAUAAAUUACAUCGAAAUGAAUGACAUAUAGUAUGAGAGAACAAUUUAACAUGUCAAGUUUUUCAGGUUAUUUAGGAAUAUUGAUGAUGUAUGAUGUAAAGAUAUGUAAUGCAUUCUAAUAUGGUCAUUUAUAUGUGAGAUGAUUUACAUUCGCUUUUCGCUUAAGUAGUUCAAUAUUGGUUCUCUUGAAUAAUUGUAGGGAAUUAUUUAAUUUGAUUUAAAAGAUUUCAUAUUACCGUAGUUAAAUGAAAGAUAUUUUUCUGUAAUAUUUCAGCAUGGAAAGGAUUCUUGAACGAUACGAUAGAUAUUCAACAACAGAUGGGCAACUUGUUGCUACUGAUUCUAUAUCACAGGUGACAUUAUCAACAUUGUGUUGUCAUCAAACAAGGCUAACUCAAAAUUAUCAUGAGUCUGAUUCCCAAUAUAUUUUUGUAUACAGUCAAAAAGUAUAUUAAUUUAUGUAACUCAUAAAUAAAUUAAAGAAGAAUAUUUCAUUAAUAAAAAUUGCAGUAGAAUGGAUUCUCAUUAUACAUACAACAAACUAAGUGAAAUUAAAUAUUUUUUUAGGGAAGUUGGAUUUUAGAGCAUGCAAAGCUUAAGGCGAAAAUAGAAGUUUUACAGAAAAAUCAAAGGUAAAACAUCGCCCCUUGUAUUAGGAAAUGAAACUAAAAGUGACAUGUAAUAAUAUAGUGUUAUCCUUUUAUUUAACAGGCAUUACAUGGGUGAGGACCUAGAGUCUUUAAGUCUUAAGGAGCUUCAAAAUUUGGAAAACCAGCUCGAUUCAGCUCUUAAACACCUUCGAUCAAAAAAGGUAAAAACUUUAUAUCUAAUGUUUUAAUAUCACGCAUGUGAAUAUCAUGAUCAAAAUAAUGAACAUCACAUAUAUCAUUUUGCUAAUCUUGUUUACAGAAUCAAAUCAUGUUCGAGUCGAUAUCUCAACUUCAGAAGACGGUAAUGCAUUCUCUUUUCUAAACUCUAGAAAAUAGAGAGAUGGUAUAUUAAUUGACAAAUUUAUAAGAGAAGUACAUUAACUUACCAACCCAUUGAUAGAAGAGAGUGGAGAGGGAUCGAGGGAGAGAGUAGAGAGAGGAGGAGGAAGAGGGGAGAGUCUUGAUUAUUUUGGUACUAUCUUUUGCUCUUUGUUUGGCAGGACAAGGCUUUACAGGAUAAAAAUCACAUGAUGUCAAAGAAGGUGGUAUUUUUAAUCACUCUUGUACUAAUUAUGAUUGCCAACAAAAUCCCCCAAUACUAUAAAUCAUGUCAACAAUUCUAAUUCAUACAUAUUGAUCAUUUACGAUAUGCAUGAAUUUAAAUUCUACCUCAAAAAAUUAUAUACAACAUAUAUAUUGUUGCAUCGAAAUCUAUAUACGCCAUAAUUUGCAUGUCAUGUUCUACUAAAUAAUUGAAUCCUAAUACACCCAAGUCAAAAUUUUGGGUCUUUUAUUCGGUUGUCAAUGGUUGACGCGUUGAGUUGGUUUGUGUAAUGUUUAGAUUUUCUUUUUAAAUUGCACUCCGAAUAAAUAUUAUUAAUAUCAACCAACAUACAUCACAUUCAUUUGUAUAUUGAGGUACAUUGUUUAUCAUAUGAUAACGUUUCAUUACUAGUUACUAUUGUCUUCUUGUACCAACUAUAUUUAUAGACUUAUAUUGUGAAUGACGAGGAUCAAGUACUUUCAAGUUUAAACACUUAGAUGGUUAAACCAAGAUAUAUUCCUUUAACUAUAGUAAAAACAACACUUCUAGAUUAUCUCUAAUAAGAACUUCAAACUCAAGAAAUUUUCGAGCUCAUUACUUCAACUCGUAAAAUUUGAAUAUUUGAACACAACACUUGCGAGGGCUAUUCGAUUCAUAAUUUAUGAGCGUGUGUAUAUGGAUUAAUAUUUAGUUGCUUGGAAUAACGAUCUCAUUCACAUUAGAUGGAUAAAUCGUUCUCUAUCUACCUUAUUCAAUUUCAUAUCAAUCUCAUUUUCAAUAAGCCAUAUUUCUGUAAACUUUACUCUCAUUCUCGAUUCACAAUUUUAUAGCGAUCUAAACACACCAUUUCUAAUUUCUUUAUUGGUAUUUUUGACUAAAAUUCUAUACUCGUUGAUCAACAACGAAAAUGGAGCUGCCCACGUACGAAGAUUUAAAGUCCAAAAAAUCAAUUUUAUUAUAAAUUCUGUUAUAAAAUACAUAUAAAACGUGAUUCUAUUAUAAAAUAAUAUAAAAUAAAUCUAAUUUAAGUAAUUUAACACUUAAAAUUUGAUUAAAAAAAGUAUAUUUUUGAAACUGAUUCUACAACAGAAUAAUUCUGGAUGAUUAUUAUUCUGUUAUAGAUUCAUGUUGAGAAAUUGCAUAAUUUUAGAUGAUCUUUGGAAUAAAAAAAUUGUAUAACUUCGUUUUCGGUUUAAUAAUCAAAAUUUGCAAUUAUAUUUCAUUAAAAAUAUAAUAGAAUAUAUAUUAUGUAUAUAUUUAUAAUGGUGUACUACGUAACUCCAUAUAAGAGGGUAUGCUAUGGAGUGCUACCCUAUAUAUAUAUAUAUAUAUUGGUGUAUGAUGGUGGUAAGUAGUCGAUAGUUUUGGUAAGUUAUGAUGGCAAGUGUCCGUGAUUAUUGGUGAUGGUGGCAACUCAUAGAAACGCCCGGUAAUGAUGAUAAGAAGACCAUUGUUACGGUUCGGGCGAAGAUGAUCAAUGUGAGGUUAAUGGAGAGGUUGGAAGGUAGAAUUCUUUUUGCGACUUCGAUGGUUAGUACAUCUCCAAACAAGAAUUUUUGUGUGAAUUUUUAAGAACUGAGUAUCUUGAUGAAGAAUCUAGAAAUGCUAGGUGGAGAGGUCAGCUGAAGUCCCAAAUGAUAACUCCCAGACGGACGUCAUGUCCCUGUUUAAAUGCUGUUGCUAGGAUCUCUUACAAAAAAUACCGUCAAGCACGUCCAGGGGUGAUAAUCAGUAGAUAUUUGCGGACAGAUAAUCAGUAGAUAUUUGCGGACAGAUUGGCAAAGUGUUGAUUAUGCUCUUAUUUAAGCACUACCAAUUGUUGUGUUGUCGCUAUGUUUUAGUUCUAUGAUUCUUAUAUAGCUUUAAAUUGCCAUAAUAAUAAAGUAUUACUAAUCACAUAUAUUUAUAUCUGCAGAUCAAGAACAAGGAAAAAGAGCUAGCUCAACCGAGUCCCCUGGAGCAACAAAACCAAGAGACUUCAUCUUUUGUUUUGCAAAAAACAUUGCAACCAUUCAAUGUCACCGGGUCAGCAGUCUCUUCCCGAGUCCCUUCUACUUAAGCUUGACUCACUAAACACUGAUGAUACAAACUCACUUAUCCUAAAGUUCAAUGUGUACUAUUAGAAACUCAUAGCGUUGAAAAACUGUUAAGCUUAAAAUGUCACUCAAGCCAAAAUUAUUGUUUGAAAAAAUUAGUAUAUAGCAUGAGUAUAUACAAUUUCAAAUAUAGAGUACUAAGCAAUAUUUGCAUGAGAUGCAGUGAUGUAUUCCAAGCCGUAGGCAACAGCGGAGAUGUGGAAGGGACUUCUCAACAACAAAACCAAACUAACACAAUGAUUCCAGCUUGGAUGCUCACGUAAGUUGAUGAAUAAGGGCCUUUGGCAAAUAACUGGCAACUGGAAGAUGCCAUCUACAAAAAUAUUUUUAUCUGUGUAAGUACUUUGUAUGCUAAUUUAAUGCAGGAAUGGAAAAAGUUAUACCUCAUCCUCAUCCUUUUGUUUUUGUGUAAUUGGAAGGUUUUGUUAAGACGGAUUUAGUUUUGUGUGCAAUAUACUUACUGAUGGGUGCAUUUUGUACAUAUAAUUGAAGUGUAAGCUGAUAUGAUGCAAUUUCAGGUCAAUAUUUAUCAUAUAUUCUAUAGUGUAGGGCUUGGAUCAACAGAAUAAGGUUGGAUUAGGUCUUCUUAAUAAUGUUAUAAGACUUUGCAGGUGGCUUAAUAGAUCCAUGAAAUUAAGUGCGUGUUAGUUGUUAAUUUGGCUGUGAAAGAUUGCAUGAAACUGGUAAUACGAUCCAGUGCUGUUUCAGUAAGUUAAAAUUUUGAGAUCAUAAAGCUAAAAGUUGAUCUGAUAUCAGGUAAGGGACUGCCAAAACUCGUAGUUUUUGUUCUAGAAAAACUGAAAGUGAAAUAUUAGAGAAAUUUGCACUGAUCACCCUUCCUACUGAAAAGGGUCUCAAAAUCUCUUUGGUUUCCACUCCAAAAUAUAAAAGACCACCUCCCAAAUUAUCCUCAAAAGUUGCCGCUUCUACAAAUUAUCUUAUCAAGAAUCCACUUCCAUCAGUACCAAACCUACCUGAAAAUGCAGAAUCCACAACUGAGGUUCCAUUGCACUAGGUCAAGUACUUGAAAUUUGCACAUGAUCUUCUUCAAGAACCUUAACCUAUAACAUGAUUCUUAGAAUUAAUACAAAAUCUUUAUGAGAAUCUGCUGAUUCCAGUGAGGUUAUUACCUACUGUUGAAGAGAGUACUAUUGUUAUAAUGUAACUGUGAUACAUGUCCAUCUGAUAUGUCUUCUACGAUUGCAAGAAUAAGUUUGCUCAAGGAUACUUAGAUCUUCUAGCACGGCACAGAUUUAAUAUCUCAAAGGUCGGCUGCUGGAAAUUGAUAUAUGCUCCUCUCUAGGAAUGAUAUUAAUACUUUAAUAUACCAUGUGCAGAUGUACUGGACCACAUGAAAAUUAAAAACUGGAAAAUAAUAUAAGAAAUUUCCUCUUAAUUCAUACAAAACUGCAUUUACGUGUUGCUCAAGGUGUCGAAGCCAUCACAAUCUUCCCAACUGUACUGUCACUUGUAAAAAUUUUAAUGUGUUGGUUAUGGUUCAUUGUUUAUCAUAGCUGUCUUCUUCUGCAUUUGGCCUUCUCAUCGUAAAUGUUGGGGGCAGUGAUUUGGACAUUUAGCUUCAGAAAGUAUUAUAUAAACAUAUUCUCUGCUUUCUGACUCUUCCAAGUUAUUGCCUGUUCAUAUUCUCUAAUUAGCCAGAAACAUUUGAUAACUCUCACCUAUGUUCACUACUCUCACAAAACUACUUGAAAACAACAGCAGAGCAUCCGCGACUGCUGUCAAAUGUGAUGCGGACAACAUUAAAGAAACAAAUGGAUGUGAUGCAUUCAAAACUAUCUUAAAUUGCAGAGAUGGAAGCAAAGAAAACCAAUUGCCUGAUACCAUGAUCAAAGAUGAAACUGCGGGCAGUGAUCCUGAAAAAUCCAGUUUACGUGCUCGCACAAGUUUAUUGAGCUAUUUGACAACGCCAGUCUCACGUUCUGGCAGUGUUUCUCUCCGAUCAAAUAGCAGCUCAGCUAGCACACAGUCUUUUGCAUUCCCUGAUUUAGGUUCAUUGAACUACUUGAAACCAGUCUCACGUUCAGGCAGUGUUUGUCUUCGGUCAAAUAGCAGCUCAGCUAGCACACAGUCUUUUGCAUUUCCUGUGUAAAUUUCUUUUCACCAAUUAUAUAGAGUACAUAUCAAUUUUAGCCCAAAGCAUCCUCUGUCUAAUAUUUGGCUUUUGCUAUUUUGCUGGCUAGCAGAAUUGUAUCAGAUUCAUACAACAGCCCAGCAAGAAUGGUAAAGGCCGAAAAGCGGACGUGCUCGAGGAUCCGCAGGCAAUGCAUAGCUUUUUUCAGGUGCUGCAAACUCUCAGGAGAUGCCAUCUAAGACCUUCAUUUAUGCUUCAAGGCUAAAUCCAUUCUGUUCAACAGUGGCAUUGUUUUUCUAGCUACCAAGACAGAAACUACUACUAGUAGUACAAAUCACAAUGUCUAAGUUUAUUUUAUUUUUUACCGUUUGUGCAUUGUAAUUCCAGAUGCCAGAUGGUAUUGUACAUUUGUAUUUGUAUGUACACCUGAUCAUAAUAUAUGAUUGUUAUGUUUCGUGAGGAAGAGAUUGCUUGAUAUUAGUACUACAAUCAAUUUCUGUUUAAUGAAGUUUGAUUUUGAAUUUUAGAUGACAAUAAUCAUGUCAUUAAUUUUAAUUUUUCAUAAAAAAAGACUACUUGAUGGUAUUAUAUUUGAUUUCUGCUUGAUGAAAUUUGGUUUGAUUAUGUUAGAAAAAAAUAAAACAAUAUAGUAUGAUUCGAUCUUUUUCAAUAUAAAAAAAUGAUAUUUUAUUUAUUACUACAAACACAUAUUAGAAAAUAUUCCGAUUAAAUAAAUAUAACUAAAAUUUUAAAAAUAUAAAUUACACUAUUCCCUCCUUCCAAAAUUACAUAUCUCUUUAGUUUUAUAAAAAAUUAAAUAGGUUGGUUUAUUAUUAGAUAUUAAUUAAUUAAUUAUUAUAAAUAUGCUCUUUGAUGAUAUAAAUUUUUUAAUUUUUUAAAUUAUAAUCCAUAUAGGGAAGAAGAAACAUCCCUAUCGUUUCUUUACAUUUUUCACCCUCAAUUUUUACCCCCAAUCAUCUGCAUCAUCAUUCUCCUCUGGAAUCCAGUCAUAACAAAUACAUAGUGAUACAAAUCUCCAGACGAAUUCAUGGAGCUAUGGAAACGAGCUCGCACAUUAGCCGAAGAGACCGCGAAGCGCUCGCACGAUUUCACCGUGGAAGCUGCUCGCAAAUCUCAGGCAUUCACGGCGGAAGCUGCUAGGCGAUCGCAGGACUUCUCUAUCGGAUCUUCCAAACUCGCCGACAUUGUUUCCGAAGCGUCUAGAAAGGCCGAUUUGAUCAGAGUCGAGGCGAUUAAGCGAGCUGAUCAAAUCAAGUCUAAGAUUCCUAAUGCUUCUGCUCUUUCGAAAAUCGGUGUUUCGAGUCACGAGGAGGAAGAGGAGGAUUUGGAGAGGUUCGGAGUUACGGAGGAGUUAACAGAUUUUGUUAGGAAUAUCUCCGUUAGUACGUUUAAGGAGUUUCCGUUACAAGGUACUUGCAUUCUGCAAUUUUGUAUUUUUAUGUUUUUUAAUCAUUGAAUUAUUAAUAUAUAUUUGUUUAAGUACUGGAAUAUUAAUGCAGUUUGUAUAGGAAGUUUUGUUGUAAUCAAGAUGAAUUUUGUUUAGUAUGUUGAAGGAGUUUCUGUUAAGAGAUACCUGCCUUGUGCAAUGUCGUAUUAAUUUAUAUAUCUAACUAAUGAAUAGUUGGCUUCUAAAUUUAGUGGAACUGCAAUGCUGUAUGUUUAUGAUGUCAGUUCUUCGUAAAUAAUUAUAUGUGUGUUUUGAUUAGUUUAUGAUGUGACAAUGUACUCUCUUGUAAUUAACUAAUUAUGAACAAUCAUGUGUUCUAGUGUGGCUUCUUGAAACUAAUUGUUCAGAAAUUUAGUAGCUUAUGGAUGGAUUACUCUACAUAAGCUUUUGAAGAAGCUGUGAAUUUAAAGUUGUUGAAGUGUGUGACUUGGAGUAAAUUUACAGAGUAUCACUUUCUAGUGGAGCCACAACUAGUGUUGUCCAACAAACUAGUAAUUCAUUUAUUCGCAGUUUGUUUACACAAAUAUGAAGAUAUAGUUUAAUAUAUAUGAAUUUACAAAGUCAAUACACACUAUACUGUAGUUGAUUAAUUAUUGAAAACAGAUGUUGCUACGCAUGGAGAAACUUGGUUACCUCCUCUGCCUGUUCCUUUUAGUCCACUUCAUCUAUUGUUGUGUUUCUGAUGAUAAAGUUCGUCUUGUGUUACCCAUACAUAUUUUUUUAAUAAUAUUGAAAAGCAAAAUUAUGUCGCAGAAUUAUAUUGAUGUUGCUCAUACAAACAAAAUGCAAAAAAACUCUUUUCUAGUUUGUGUUGUAUGACUGUAUGUACUUAUUUGGAAUGUUGCAUUUAUGUGCAGAUGACACUGAAAUGUCUGAUAUACCCACAGUCUCAAAUAUUCGCCAGGAUCUUACAAAAUGGCAAGAAGUACAUGCCAAACUUGUUCUUUCUACCGUGAAGGUAAGCAGUGGGUGACGCUCCCUCUCCCGCCCUACCUAUCCUACAAAUUGUUUCUUGCAUAAAUUUUUAUUAGUGUUGGAGGCGGGGUAACUUUAUUCUUGGUUCCUCAUCUUCGAGUAUACUCAUUUUGCUACUUGUUAGUCUUGGUUAGUUUGCACUUUGCAGUUCUCGAAGCAUAACCCAUAUUACACUGGUAAUGAACUUGUGCAGCUGUUCUUGUCCGGAAAUUUAUACUUAAUAUUCUAGUCGAUGUGUGAUACAGAAUCAUACCCAUUAUAGGACCACCAACUCCAUAAACAAACAAAUUUACGGCCAAAUCUAUAUGUCUAAUAGCAUAAAGUUUGGUUAGACACAUCAUUACCGGGAGGGAUGCCAAUUAUUUCCUACCAUCUUUCUGAUGUACCUUCCAAUGGAGAUAAGGUGGCAGAGAAGUCUUCCAUUUGUUAAUGCUUUUGUGCUGAAUUCUAUUCUUUAAAAUAAGAGAAUAAUAGCUGAAGGAGCAUGCUCCAGAUCAUCCAUAUGUUACCAAACGCUUUCCAACUUUGCAGACAGUCGGACAGAUGUCUUUUGCUUCAACAAAAACAACAGUCUUAGUGAAGUCAAAGAAUUCACACCGUAACUCAUGUCAUUAUCUGUAUGGGUUAUCCUCUGCUAGCAUCUAGUCUUUUACUCUAUAUAUGUUACUAUGUUAGCAUAGUUUUUCAAGGACAGGGGUAGCAAGGUUAGGCUUAUUGCUGUUCUAAAUGGUAAUCGUUUUUUUCCCUUGAUGCUAGAGGUGGCAAAUUGGACCAAGAACCAAAAAUCCAAACCGGUACACUCCAAACUUUACAACAUGGCCCAUGAUACAAUCACACAAUAAAAAUGGAUGGGGACUGGUUACACAGAUUACAUAUUCGAUUCUAAAAUAUGGUAUAAUAAUAUGUGAUGACCAUAUUUUUAAAAGAAGCCCUUGAUAGAUUCGGCCACCUGGUGGAAUUGGAUCUGGCAUUGUUUAGUUGAUGAUUAGUAUUACUAUUUAGUCUGACUUAAAUUUACUUUUUUAUUUUCCGUAAAUAUUUUGAAUUUUUUUGGAAGUUUAGACCUUUGUUGUGUUGAUAUAUACAUGUAGAGGAUGGUGUACUCAGUUAGACUUAUUACAUCUUAUUCAGAUUCAGGUUAUGUGAAAAUUAAUUUAUUAUCUCAGUACUGAAUAAUCAUUAUUUACUCUUGCAAUAAUUAAAUUUUAAUAAAAUUCCUUGAAGUUUUAUUGCCAUGGGCAAAAAUAUGUGUGCUAUUCUUUUCAGCAUUCUUUUGGAAAAUAAUGAAAAAUAUUGCUAAAAGAUAUACUGACUAUUUAUACUUGCAAAACCUUUUAAGUAGUAGGCAUUGAAUUUUACGUGUUGAUCUUUGCAUUACUUUUUAUUUUGAGUAGUCAACUUCUUUCUUAAAAAGUGAAUAUACCUACGGAAACUCUUAUUAAUAUAUCUUUUGGAAAGAAAUGCUAUCAUCAUUAACAUAAAAAAUAGUGCAUUUUGUGUAUAUAAACAUAUGAUGCAUGAAAGAGGACAUCCACCGGGGGGGCGGGGGAUGAAGUUUGAUUUUUUAACAUAUAAUAUAAGUCAAUAUAAAUAUACAUAAAUAUUAUAAUUUUGUUAUGUAUAUGAUUGAUCCAUAUGCAAAACCAAAACCAUAGAAGCCAUAUUAAAACCAAACCCAUAUGUUUUUCAAAUUUAGUUUUUAUAUGGUUUUGGCUUACAAACCGAACCAAAACCAUAUUAUUGCAUCAAUAAACAAACCAAUCACUUAUAUUGCCACACCUACUUGCUGCCAUGUCGCUUCUGCAAAUAAUAAUGAUAGCAAUAUCUAUUUAUAUUUUAAUGUGUGUUAUGAUCUCUUUUACCGUGGCCUGGUGGAUGUGGUGAGGCUCAAUGCACAUACGAGAUGACAAAAUGAUACUCCCUCUGUCCCAUUUAAUUCUAAACGUUUCUUUUUCACUACUCGACACGCACUUCAAUGCUCUUAUAAAAUAUAGAUCUAUAACUUAUUUUUAAAAUUUUCUUUUUCUGAAUAAAAAUAUAACAUUCAAACUUUUAUUUAGAAAAGAAAAAUCUUAAAAACAAGUUAUAGAACUAUACUUUACAAGAGCAUUAAAGUCCAUGCCGCGUUCCCGUCCCCCAAUGAAUAUAACUCAGGGGGACGGAGGGAGUAGCUUUUAGUUAAAAAAUCAUAAUAAGAGCAUCGAGAGUCCUAACAGAUUCCCUAAAUAUAUAAUAAAAUAUGUAGCUUUUAGUUGUGUUUUGUGUCAUAUUUCCUAUUAUAAUAACUUAGGACAUCAUAUAGCUAAGCUGCUGGAGAUGCUCUAACAUUCAUAAUAAUGCAGCCAUUCAAGUCAUGCUUAACGGUGCUAAUCGUUCUCAUUAUUGUUUUGCAGGAGAUCUCAAAGUUAAGGUACGAGUUAUGCCCACGAGUCAUGAAGGAAAGAAAGUUCUGGAGGAUAUACUUUAUUCUUGUUAACAGUCAUGUGGCUCCGUGAGUAUCUCAUUCUUAAUGUGGAUGCUAUUAUAUAUCGCCUCGAAGUUCAGUCAUCUAUUGCAUCAACUGCUAAUCAUAAUUUUUUUUCUAUGAAGUAUCAGCACCAUAGAUACAUUGAUCAUGAUAUAGAUGAAACACAAAAGGCUAUUGAGGAUACUGUUUUCUGGAUGAAUUUCGAAAGUAAAAUCUGCAAUGCUGCAUUGAAAGGUCCUAAUCCUAAUAAUUGAUGGUGGUGUUGAUUACAAAUGUUUGACUUUGCUAAUAUACCCGGGCUUCUAUUCUGCUCCCAGAUAAAUUUACUAUAAAUUUUAAAUAGGUCCAUCUUUAGUAUAUCUUCUGUCACUUCUUCCCUUACAGCUAGAGCAUGGAAUUCAGUUUAAACUGGAAGGCCUGUAACCUUUUAUAAUACUGUUUGCCUUUGGUUGUGAUUUUCUUUUGUUCGCAAGAUUAUUUUUCUGAAGUACUGUUUUAAGAAAAAGGCAUAAGUAAUUUUNCCCCGCCCCGCCCCCUGCGCGCGCGCGCCCCACACACGCACCAACUAUGAUACCAGAAAAUGAUAAAUAAAUAAAAUUCAUGUGUUUGGUUAGGUAUGAAAAGCGAUAUAAUGAAGAUGCAAGGAGGAGAUCUGCUGAAGAAGUAAAAAAUGACAUGAAGAGUUCAGAAGUUGGAACACUUUCCAAAUCAGAAACUGGGAAGACAGUCCAGAAAACUAAGAGUGUUUCCUCGGCAGCUGCAGAGCAGGACUUAGAUGUAUUUCUCUUGGGGGAUCUUGGUGACAGUGAUGAUGCUCCAGGUAUACUGUUUUGUAUGAUAUUAAUCACCAAAUUGCUGUGUGGCUUACUUAAGCUGAUUAAUGAGAGUUUACACUUGAAUAUUUGUCCAUUGAACCCUCAGUAUCAUACAUCUGGUUAAAUAACUCCAUAUGUUCAUUAAAGAUUCUCCUUCAUGAAUUUCAAUAUAUGUGUAUCAAAUCCUCGGUAUCAUAAUUGCCAGCCGUUAAGUCAUCUUAUGGGCUCAUCCUGUUUUCGUCAAUGAUGUUGUUGCAGCUUUGUUUUGUUUUUAAAUUAAUAUCUAGGUUAUGAUCGGAAAUAUUUGAUUGGGAACAAAGAACAAGACCUAUUGCAUAUUUGUCCCAAUUCACCUAAUCAAGGACUGGUUUAUAUUAAUUCUACUGAUUUUGUACAAUUCUUAAUAGAUAUAUCAAGGAGGCAUAUCUGUUGUUUGUUCCUCUAUAAGUUCUACAGUAGUUAUUUUUUAUCAAUGCUAUCGGUUCUCUUUUAUGUGUUUAUAAAUGAUUAUCUGACCUCUAAUUCAAGCUUCAUGAAUGAUCUUCUCCUUCUUUCUUAGACGGUAAAGAUGAAGGAUUCGAUGACGAUGACGACUUUGACAAGCUAUAAUACGGUAAGAAAAAGAAAUUAAAUAUUUUUCUUUUACAUGUACACUCGGGCACUACUUCCAAUCCGUCUUCUCAACGUACUACAGACAAUUCAUGUUGUGCUGGGCCAGCAUGUAUUGUUGGUAAUUGGACUUUGGCUUAUAUUGUUUUCACUUUUAGUAGCCCAAUAUCUAUCUAUGCUCAAAUUUCCCUUGGUCCAUUCCCUUAAAAGUUUUUUUGGAAUGAACACUUUUAAAGAGUGCGACAGGAAAUAGGUUGGUACUGGAAUAUAUCUGUUUAAGCUUGUACUAUUAGAAUGUAAUGGAACUUCGUGAAUGGAAGUGGUGAAAUAGGUUUUCGAUAUAUAAUGAAAAAUUCAUAUAUGUCUAGCCUGUAGUUAUAUCUAAUAACCUUGUUCUGACCUGUUAAAACAGAAUUCAACUUUACAAAUUUUACUGGGUAAAAAUUAUGCCCACUUUGAGCAACUUAAUCGAUACAAUGACGUGGUUGCUCGUGGCUGAGGGCGAUGGUAAAUAUGGUUUUGUAGAGGCAUGGUUAUAGCUUGUACAUUUUGAUAUGUUAUAACCUGAUUUGACAUAAAAGUGGUAAGUCUUAAAUGCUGGAUAAUAUGAUUUGAUAUUCAGCUUUAUAAUUAUUAUAUAUCUGAUUAGAAAACAGGGCAAGUAAAUAGCUUCAAACUAGACCCUAUGAUGUGAAUUUUUGCAGUUUCUAAACUCAAGUUUAAAACAAAUUGAAGUUAAGACUGCACUGUCAUGUGUUAACGCCAAUGUAAAAGGCUGAUUUAGAUUUAUGUACCUAAAAUCUUAUUGAUGACUGAUUGAGAUGAAAAUUUGGUCAUCAGUUAAUUAUGUGCAGGUAGAUGCAGGUAGAUGCAAAUUUAGAUGGAGAGUCACACAAGUGACUGCACAAGGUAAAGCCAAUGUUGCACAUAGAAACAAGGGAGCUAUAUAGUUCUCUGAGACUGGGAAAACAUAUUACAUACCUCGAGUAAUUUCCAAUUUGUAAUACAAUGUUAUCAUAUAUUUUAGCUUAUUAAUUGGGUUAAUUAUCAACUAGGUCACUUUUUACACCAGAAAAUAUCAAGUGGGUCACUCGGAAAUUUUUGGUCUCAUUUGAAUCAUUAAAGUCAAAAAAAAUAUCAAAUAGAUACCUCUAAUAUUUUUUCGAGAGGUAAACUUUAUUUUUCAUUGAGUUCCACACAUUUUUCUUGGUUUUUAGUAUAAGAAAAUGAAAAGCUAUGAAUUUAGUAUUUAUGAUAAUAUAUUUAGAUUUUAAGAAAUUUAUUUAUUAUUUAUUUGAUAUAAAUUAAACAAAAUAAUUUUAAAAUUAAAAAUAAAUAGUAAAUAAAUUUUUUAAAAUCUGAAUAUAUUAUCAUAAAUACUAGAAUUCAUAAUCUUUAAUUUGAUUAUACUAACAACCAAGAAAAACGUGAGCAACUCAAUGGAAAAUAAAGUUUACUUUUCGAAAAAAAUAUUAGAGGUAUCUAUUUGAAAUUUUUUAUGACUUUAGUGAUUCAAAUGAGACCAAAAAUUUCCGAGUGAUUCACUUGAUAUUUUCUAGGGUAAAAAGUGACCUAAUUGAUAAUUAACCCCUUAUUAAUUAGUUAAGGUUUGUUGCAUCAAUUAAAUUAGUUCUAAUUUUUGUUUGUAUAAUAAUUAUAGAUUAGUUUGGUAGUUAUGUUUAUGUGUAGAAGUCAUCACUCGGGCAUUUUCGGAUGAGUCUGAAGUUCUAUUAAAAAAUAGGUGUUCUUGUAGAGUAAUAGUUGUUGAUUAACCUUCUCUAACAGCUAAUUGGUAUGUGUUGUUAGUUGUCAUGGUAGAAUUUUUGUAUCUUGUAACUAGGCACCAGCUUAUUUUUGACCAGCUGGUAGAUUCUAUAUUAAGAAACUUACAAACUUAAGCAAUAAGCAGCUUAGUUUAAAAUGCAAGACUGUUGCAAAUAUGGUAAUUACUACUACUAGUUUCUUGCGUUCUAUCAACUUAUUUAUAAAGACACGCCGAGUACUACGUCAAUAAGUUAGUUAACAAUCCAGUAUCCGGUAACGUAAUUGAUUAGUAAGUAUUUUCUAUUUACUGGGCAUUGUCAUGAGACUCAUGACAUACUAAUAUUUAACAUAGACUUAAACUAAUAGUACUCAUUUUGUCCAUCUUGAAAUUAUUAUCCAUGUUUUAAUAAAUAUCAGGUAAAUUAAAUAUUAACUAUAAACAAUACAAUUUUUUAUAUUAAUUAAACGGGAAUGAAUAAAAGAUAGAUUUUAGAUUGUGAAUAAAUUGAGGAGAAUGAAAGGAUAAUAAUCUAUAUGUAAGUUAGUUGAUACUUAAACCAUGAUAUAAAGAUAAAAUAAUAUUAAACUUUAUCAAAUAAUUUAUUUGUUAUCUUUAGUGACUCGUGUAUUUUUUUAAUAUAUUAAGCAUUUUAUAUUGUAUAUGUAUCAUGUACUCCCUCCGUCCCACUCAUUUCUAUACAGUUUCCUUUUUGGGACGUCCCAUCAUUUCUAUACAUUCCAAAUAUAGUAACUUUUUAUAAUAUAAAACACUACUACUCCCACUACAUUCUUCCACUAUCUCCAUUCUAUAAUAAUAUAAACACUAUUACACCCACUAUUUUCCCCCACUAUCUCAAAUCUAUCAUUAAAUAUAAAUGUGUCCCACCACUUUACUCACUUUUCAUCUCAAUUUACUCA
rnacentral:lncRNA from 1 species